rnacentral:lncRNA from 1 species
CCGCAAACUGCGGUGUUCGUGCACGCACUUCCAGGGACCAGCAGCACGUCACCAUCACCUCCUGAGAAGUGAGUUCCCCUCCGCCGAAACCGUUGGUAUUUUCUACUCAUCAUCCUUCCUUUUUCUGUCUGUCUUUUUUUUUUUAACUUGAUGGGAGGGAGCAUAUUGGGGAGCAAGUUUUUAAAGCUCUAUUGAAUGAGCUUGCACUAGCCGAGUUAGAUUUAUAGCACUUUCUGUUGCUCCUGCUCCCCCCAGUCCCCAUGUAAGCUUGAGUGACCGGCUGGGCUGUGAGCAAUACCGUUUGAAAUUACGGUGGCUUUGAUGGGAACUUCAGGAGAGUGAGGUCUUUGUUUUUCAGAAAAGUAACUCACUCAAAGUUAAAUUGGUGUUCUUCGAAAUAACCUCUAUUCCUUUGUGUGUCGAUAAAUGCUUUCUUUCCCUUUUGUUACUGUUCGACUUUUUUGGACUUUAAAAAGAGCUUCUGCAUGUGUAUUUUGGAAUCGUGUAGUUUCAUAAAGUGAAUUGUUAUUCUUUUGUGUUUGAGUGAUAGACUUUAUUAAUGUAAAGUACAAGUCAUUUGCAGUAAAUAAAAUUUCUACUUCCCUUGUUUGUUUCUUCUAUAAAAAAUCACCUUUUCUUUACAAAAAAAAAAACACCCGUAAUCCAACUUAAAACUUAACAGUGAAGGGCAGAGGGUGUCUAUCUUAAAUAGCAAGAAAGAUAAGGAUGUUAUAAAUAAAAGGUGACUUUGUUAUGUUUACAGAAUGCAAGGUGUUUUGAGAUACUAGUAAACGUCCUGUGGUUUAAAGUUAAACUCCGAAUGGUGCUGACGUUCCCAGUAGAAAAUGUGUUGCCUGAUUAUUCAUUUCGUUAAACAUUCUACUUCCCUGUUGUUUACUUCAGGUAAAUUCAAGGAGGAGCAACCCCUCUUUCAGUCCUUUCCUCCCCAGCCCCCAGCAGUUCCUUCCUGCCUCUUCAGCAUUCUUUUCCGUGUAAGAUGAUGUGUUCUAGGACUGGAUAUGCCUCUGAGUGCAUGUAAUCCAACUUCGUCCCGUCCUCACCCUUCUAGUUGCUUCCUCUCUGUUUGUGUCACGUACCAAGCUCUUUCCAGUCUGUAGCAGAGACUGUUAGUUGUCCCCUAAAAUUUCUCCCUUUUUUUCAUACUAACAGACAUGGACACAUGGCUGUCCAGAAUGAAGACUGUUUUCCGGCCUCUCUGUAGCCAUGUGGUAGUUCUGGCCAAUGGCGUAUAAGCAAAAAGGUCAUGUGGCGUCCCUUCAGAACCAUCCUUAAAAUACAGUUGGUGUACACAUCCGGUCCUCUGUCUCUUUUCCUCUUAAUAUCCUGCACCCUGGAAUAUGGAUGUGACGGCCUGGAAGUCUAGCCGCCAAUGUGGGCUGCAGGCGAAAUCUUAAACUGGUGGGAGCUUGGGUUCUUGAGACCUUUGUGGAGCACCAUACCAGCCCUGCACUCUUUACGUUCAGUUUUGUUUUGGUUUGGUUUUUUGUUUUGGGGGGUUUUUUUAGAGCGAGAGAGAGCACCUUUUUUUUUUUUUCUUAGUUCGAGCAAGUGAGCACCAGUGGAAGAGAGGGGCAGAGGAAGAGAGAAUCCCACGCAGGCUCCAAAGAUGCAGGGCUCGAUCCCACAACCCUGGGAUCAUGACCUGAAUGGAAAUCAAAGAUUCAGAUACUCAACCGACUGAGCCAGCCAGGCGCCCCUACAUUUAGAUUUGGAUAGGAGAAAAUAAAUUUCUAUUUUACUUAAAACUCUAUUUAGGGUCUCUUCUCAACUGAAUUUAAUUUUAACUGAUACUCCAUCUCAGGACCUUUGUACUUUUUGCACUAUCAUUUUUUUCUGUCUGGGAUGUACUUUCUCGGUGUCUAUGUAGCUAACUCAUUCUCAUCCUUCAGGUCUUAACUCAGAAAUCAAGGCACACGGGUGGCUCAGUAUGUUAAGCAUCCGACUCUUGAUUUUGGGCUCAGGUCAUGAUGUCAUGGUUCCUGAGUUCGAGCCCUGUAUCAGGCUCUGCACUGUCAGUGCUUAGGACUCUUUCUGCCCCUCCCCUGUACGCUCUCAUUCUCUCUCCCUCUCAAAUAAAUAAGAACUUUAAAAAAAGAAAGAAUAUCUGACAGGCCUUCCUUCACCACCAUGUUUAAAGUAUCUCCUUUUCCCAUUUAUUUUUAAAUAGCAUUUAUAAUUUAUCGUUAUCUUUAUUGUUUGUUAUCUAUUUCCCUUUACCCCACUAAAAAUUUAAGUUCCAUGGGGGCAGGGGCUAAAUCUAUUUUGAUCACUGCUUUAUCCCCCACACAUAGUAUACAUUAGGUAAGUACUGUUGAAUGAAUGAAACACUGAAUAAAUAAACCAUUGAAUGAAUGAAAUAGAUUCUUAUCCAAGAUUAGGUUAGCUUUUUUUUUUUUUUUUUUUUAAUGUCUUGAAAGGUUUCCUUCACAUAAUAUGUAAACUCCUGGGCACCUGGGUGGCUCGGUCGGUUGAGCAUCCCACUUCAGCUCAGGUCAGGAACUCAACGGUUCAUGAAUUGGAGCCCUGUGUUGGGCUCUGUGCUGGCAACUCCGAGCCUGGAGCCUGCUUCUUAUUCUAUGUCUCCCUCUCCCUCUACCCCUCCCCAGCUCUGCAUUCACUCUCUCAAAAGUGAAUAAAUGUUAAAAAAAAUUUUUUUUAGUAAGUAAAUAAAAUCCAAGCUGGGAAGCAGCUAGGAAAAAUUGUGCUAAAUUAAUGGAAUGUACUAGCUUCCAUCCCUGGAUAAUGAAGAUGUAUACCUUUUGGGGGGAAAUUGACAAGGCUAUUAUAGGAAAAACAACUUAAUUGAUAAGGCUGACUGGCAAAUCAGAAAGAAUACUCAAUAUCGUAUAUGGGGCAGAAAUUUCCAUUAUGUAGUGGUCUGAUUUAUUAUGUAACUUACUGCAUCUCAGAUUCUUCAUCUAAAAUGUAGGUAAGAAUCUUAAGCUUUGAAUGGUAAUAUAAAAGUUUAAUAGUCCAUCUUGGGAGUGAGUGACAGAACACAUGUUACACAUUAAUUUGGUUUUCAGGUGUUAUUUUAACAAGUGAUUAUGUCUUGUUAGUACUGGCAAGGGUUCAGAGAAAUAGGGCUUCUUAAACUUCCGAGUAUAUAAGUGGCACACACUUCUAGAGUGCAGUUUGACAGUAUGUAUCAGAAGCCUUGAGCAUGUGCAUUUGACCCUGAAGUUCCUCUUCUAGAAAUGUAUCAUAAGGAAAUAAGAAUAUGUGUAACAAUUUGAUUGCAAGAGUAUUCAUUCCUGCAUUGUUUGUUAAGAUAUUCCUUAAAUAGGGGUGCCUGGCUGGCUCAACAGUUGAGCGUCUGACUGCGGCUCAGGUCAUGAUCUCACGAUUCACAAUUCGAGCCCCAAGUGGGGCUCUGUGCUGACAGCUCGGAGCCUGGAGCCUGCCUCAGGUUCUGCGUCUCCCUCUGUCUCUGCCACUCCCCACCUCACACUGUCUCUCUCUCUCUCAAAAAUAAACAUUAAAAAAAUUUUUUUUAAAGAUACUCCUUAAAUAAAUUAAGCUACACGCAUAAAACAGUAUUCGGCCAUUAAAAAUGAUGUGGAAGAAAUGUUAUUGACCUGAUAUAUUAAGUGUAAAGAGGAAGUUUUAAAAUGUACAGUUGAUCCUUGAAUAAUGCAGGGGUUGGGAUGCCUAACUUCCUCCCUCACAUAGUCAAAAACUGCUAAUAGUGUACCAUCGACCAGAAGCCUUACCAAUAAUAUAAACAGUCAACAUAUUUUGAAUGUUAUAUGCAUUGUAUGCUGUAUUUUUACAACAAAGGAAGCUAGAGGAAAAAAAAUAUUAAGAAAAUUACAAGGAAAAUACAUUUACAGUAUUGUACUAUAUUUAUCGAAAAAAAAAUCUGUGUGUAAGUGGACCCAUGCAGUCCAAACCUGAGUUGUCAACUGUAAUUCCAACUUUGUAGAGAUUUGUAGUCUCACAGAGAUCUAACAGGAUAUGUGCAAAGGGUUAAUUCAACCUUGCAAAAGUAUUUUUAUUUACAGCUAUUUUUAUAUCAUUAUUUCUAUUUCAUUUUUUAAUUUUCAUAGAAUAAAAAUUUUGUAUAAUAGUAAUAAAAAACGCUAUUUCUCUCUUUAUAAAACCGAGUGAAUGAUUUGGAACAAUAGUAUCACAUACUCAGUUGCCAAGCCUGAUAUCUUUUAUCCUUCUUCCCUAUGCCUCACAAAUAGUUAUCAAUUAUUGUGUAUUUUAUCUUCCAAUGAAGACAUAGUAAUAGCAGCAACAGAUGUAGCAAACACUUAAGAUUCACUACAUGCCGGGCAUUGUUGUAAGCAUUUUACCUAUAUUAACUCCUGAAAUCCUUACAUCUACCAUAUUUUGUGCUAGGAUCUGCUAAAAUCUGUAGUUCGGACUAAAUUCUCUGUUAGGGCAGAAAAAAAGAGGACUGUUGUGUCGGAUAAUUUCACCAAGUAGCUGUUUAAUUUCCAUGUUGAAUGACUGGAUAGCUGGGGAUGAAAGGAAGGGACAUUUUCACAGUGAGGGGAAUAACAUGAGCAAAGGCAGAUUGUACAUGCUGGGGCUGCCACAGGCAAAGCACCACAGAUUGGGCGACUUAAACAACAAAUGCAUUUUUGCUCACAGCUGUGGAGGCUAGAAGUCUGAGACGGUUGGUUUCUUCCCAGAGCCUUGUUCUUGGCUUCUAGAUGGCCCUUUUCAUGUUUAUGUGGUUUUCUCCCUGUAUGUGAAUUUGUUUCCAAAUUUCCCCUUUUUAUAAGAACACCAGUCAUAUUGGAUUAGGACAUACCCAUAUGACCUCAUUUACCAUUAAUUACCUUUUUAAAGUUCCUAUAUCCAAAUGUAAUAACAUUUUGAGGUAAGGGGAUUAGCACCUCAUAAAUUUUGGGGGGACACAACACAAUCUGGGUCAGCUCAGAAGCAGAAAUGAGCAUGGGCCAGCAACUAGAACCAGACUCAGAUAAGCAGAAGGGGGCUAGUGGAAAUUAUGUAGAAUAAGGAGGCAGGAUUUUGGAGUGUUUUAAAAUGCAGAGCAAAAGAGACAAUAGAUGGUUUUUAAGAAGUCACUGCUAAUCAACCCAUUUCCAAAGUUUAGUCAGCACCAAAAAGGAAAACAAAAUAAGUAGAAUCGUUUGUUGUAUAUCUUUCAUCAUGUCCACUUUUAUCACCUAACAUCACUGCUCUCAUCUUGCAAAGAUAAUUACUUUAAAUUAUGGAUCAAAAAAAUUAUGAAUCCUCUCAAAAUUAAUGUUUUUACCUAUUCAGAUCACUUUCAUACAAUACAAGUUUUUUCCCAUAUCAGUUAAAAGAAUCAACAAAAUACUUUUUUACUUUGCUUUCUCGACUACGUUAACUGUUGAAUGUUUUAAUGCAUGGUUAAGAUAUUUUCUUAAUGCCAAUUCUAUCCCACAUAUGAAUUAUAAAUUAUCUUCCACUUAAGUAAAAAUCCCUCCCCCAACAGUUUCCAGAAUCAAUGAAUAUAGAAGUAAAUCAAUCUAAAACACAAGAAAUGGGAUGUUUGGGUGGCUUAGUCGGUUAGGUGUCUGAUCUCAGCUCUGGUCAUGAACUCACAGUUUGUGAGUUCGAGCCCCGUGUCAGGCUCUGUACUUGACAGCUCAGAGCCUGGAGCCUGCUUCAGAUUCUGUGUCUCCAUCUCUUUCUGUUCCUCCCUGGCUCGCACUCUGUCUCUCUCUCAAAAAUAAAGAUUUAAAAAAAAAUUUUAGGGGUGCCUGGGUGACUCAGUUGGUUAAGCGUCUGACUGGUUCGGUUUGUGGUCUCGCAGUUCCUGAGCUUGAGCCCUAAAUUGGGGUCUAUACUGACAGCUCAGAGCCUGGAGCCUGUUUCAGAUUCUGUUUCUCCCUCCCACCCCCCAACUCUGUCUCUCUCAAAAAUAAAAAUAAACAUUAGGGGCGCCUGGGUGGCGCAGUCGGUUAAGCGUCCGACUUCAGCCAGGUCACGAUCUCGCGGUCCGUGAGUUCGAGCCCCGCGUCAGGCUCUGGGCUGAUGGCUCGGAGCCUGGAGCCUGUUUCCGAUUCUGUGUCUCCCUCUCUCUCUGCCCCUCCCCCGUUCAUGCUCUGUCUCUCUCUGUCCCAAAAAUAAAUAAACGUUGAAAAAAAAAUUAUAAAAAAUAAAUAAAUAAAAAUAAACAUUAAAAAAAUGUUUUUUAAUUUUUUUAAAUAAAACCUGAGAAAUCAGCCAAUACAUUUCUGUUUAAAGAAAAACGGACUAAACACUGACAUGAUAGCAGGAAUAAAAGCAAUUUAUGUACACAACAGAUUGAAAAAAGAAUUAUCUGUGUUUUUUUUAAAUACUAAUGGCCUUAGUCAUAGCCAUUCAAAUGCUGAAUAUUAACCUGUUUUGUAACUGAGGAACUUAAAGUGAAAAUACAUUCAGUAUAAAAGAAAAUGAAGAUUACAAAGACAAUGAAACAGUAAAGGUUAUGAAAUCUGUAGAUCUUAAGAAAGCCUUGGUCCUGGAAGAUAAACACCCCUACUUGAACUGAUCCCAUCCUAUUCAAUAAUUCUUACUCUCAGGAGCUGUUUAUGUUUUAUGUUUUUUUGGUUUGUUUUUUUAAGUUUACUUAUUUUGAGAAAGAGACCACAUGAGUAGGAGAGGGGCAGACAGAGAGGGAGAGGGAGAGAAUCUCAACCAGGCUCUGCACUGUUAGCACACAGUCCAAUGCGGGGCUCGAACCCAGGAAACCGUGAGUUCAUGACCUGAGCCGAAACUGAGAGUUGGACGCUUAACCACCCAAGCAACUCAGGUGCCCCAGAGCUGUUUUAUGUUUAACCUAAAAGUUUUACAUUGCUUUUUUGUUUUUGGAUUUUAUUUUUAUUCCUUGAAAGUGCUCACACUGCAAAUUGUUCAUGGAUGAAAUAUAGAGCUUAGCACAUUUUUUCCCUACAAAAUUAUGGCAUAAAUUUGCUCAGUUUUCUAUCUGAUUGCUAAUAAAUGUUAUGCCUCAGAGUUUGUAAAAGAAACCCCUUAAGGACUAAAUGUGUAGAGCAUGCUGCAAAGUACAAGAAGUAAACUAAAAAUGAAUCUAUAAACCUACAUCUGGACCACCACAGUACUGAAUGCUGACAAACAUAAUGCAGGGGUAAAAUUUUUUAAAGAGAUAUAAUUCAGGACACCUGGCUGACUCAGUCCGUGAGCAUGCGACUCUUGAUUUCCAGGUGACGAGUUCAUGCCCCGAGUUGGAUGUAGAGAUUACUUAAAACACACCAAAAUUUUUUUUAAAUAAGUAGAUAUAGUUCAGUCCUAAAAGGGUAAGUAGAAACUAAUAUAUUAUUGUUUCUAACCAUCCAUCACACAUUACAGUGCUUGAAAACAGUCAAAAAUCUGCCACAAAAAAAUUACACACGUUCUAUAUACAUCAGAAACAGUCAUCUUUGAAAUCAAAAGUAACUUAAUAGUUUAAAAACUUUGUUUCAAAAAAAACUGUCAAUUACCUGGUUAAACAUGAAUAGUUAAUUCACUUCUCAAAACCUGCAUUGGAAAUUUUCUGUGAGUACACAUGAUACCAGUUUCAUUUAAACAAACAAAAUUGUUAUCAUAGGUAAGUCUGUUCAGUAAGAGGGACAAAUAUUUAAUUAAUACAUAUACCAGGAUGCCUUAAGUUGCAAAGUUUAAGAAAAGUCAGCAACAGGUUAAAUAUACCAGUGUUCAACUUUGACAUCUUUCAAAAUAGGAAGAGAAUAAAGCCUUUAGCUCACCUUUCCAGUCUGUAACAAAUUCAGUAGAACUAAUAAAAUCUGUUACUGGAUCACUAGCUUAGCUUCUAUGCAUGUUUGUAAAAAUUGCAUAAAAUUGUAAGAGUAUAAGAUCUAAAAAUAAAAAAAAAAAAAAAACCAGGACAUACUGUACUUCAAGCAUUCACCAUUCUAAAAUGAGUCAUUGUCAUUUAUGAUAAAUGACCAGCAUCUCUAAUAAGGCCAUAAUUUGAGGAGGGGGAAUAUGUUUUUUUUUGUACAUAUUCUUUUUCUUUAAAAAAAAAAAUGUUUGUUUAUUUUUGAGAGAGACAGAGCAGAGAGUGAGGGGGAGACAGAGAAUCCCAAGCAGAUUCCAUGCUGUGAGCAUGGAGCCCAAUGCAGGGCUCAAACUCACAAGUCAUGAGAUCAUGACUUGAGCUGAAAUCAAGAGUCUGACACUUAACUGAUUGAGCCACCCAGGCACCAUUUGUACAUAUUCUUCUUAAGAUUGCUUCUUAAUAUAUUCUACUCAUAUUGAAGUUACUAUUUAUUUAUAAAAGCAUUUUAUAGUACUUGUGAAUUUUAAACAUCAGCAUUUUGUGAAAUCUCAUUACAAUGUCUAUAGUGACACUAUAUCAAGCACAUAGAAAAAUUUUUAUCUUCAACCCCUCACCUAUACAUUUCGUGCAAUAUUUGAUGCUUAAAAAUACCAAAAUGAAAAAAAUGCCAAAAUAAUAAUGAAAAUAAGUAAAAGAAUUUGAACAGUUCCUUAGAAAUCCUUAUGUAAUGAUUUCUCUUAUAAUUAUGUUUCCAAAGUUUUGCAUUAUUUUUAUGGCAUUCUUUCUGAACUCUUCAUAAAUUUUCUACAGCCUCAUAGAAUUGGUUUCCAGAUAUAAACAUAAAAGGAUGCUUUUAAUAUAACCAGUUUUGGCAAUAAAAGAAUAAAUGCUUUCUCAUCUGAAUACAAUGUUCUGUUCUGAUGUGGUAUCCAUUUAUCAUUCAUUAUUCAAAUGUGAUUGACUCAGUUAUGUGCCACACGUCUUUCAUUGUCAUGUAAUUCUCAAACUAUCUGAUAUAAUAGUAUAAUUUCCUCCAUGUUCUUGUUUGUAGCAGAUCUCCAGUUUAAACUUGUGACCCAUAUUUUGCACUUCAAAUAUCCUUAUCUUUGUAUUGAAUUACUAUUUAUUGCUCAUCAGCUUUCAUAUUGAUCACAGCAAUGUUAAAGCUGCUUAGUAUUCUGACCUGAACAUUAUAGAUGUUAUUACUCGCCGGUGCUUUUGUGGAUCACUAUCAUCUGUAAAAAUAGGUAGCCUAAAAAGAAAAAACAAAUAAGGUAACCGGUGAGAAAAAUAUAAGAUCCAUGGAACUAGAAAGUAGUUGUAACAAACCAAUCAGCACAAGAAAACCUCAAACAGUAAUUAGAGAUAAAAUAUGAGAUCAAUAUUGGCCUGAUAAUAAUUAUAGCUACCACUUAAUUUGGCAUCUACUAAAUUGCAAGCACCAUAAUUACAUGAUUUCAUUCAGCUGCAUAACAUGAGAUAAGUAGUAUUCACACUGUACAGAUGAGGAAAUGGAGGCUCUAAGAAAGGUUGCCUUCAAUUAUAUAAAUUAUUUCCAACUUCACAGCCAGUUCUCUCUUUUUUAAUAAUGUAUGUAGUUUAUAAUAUUGUGAUAUAUAUCUGUGUGUGUGUGUGUGCGUGGGGGGGGGGGCUUUUGGGGGAAAGAGUCCAUAGAUUCCAUGAGAUUCUCUUAAGUGUUCCCUAGUGAAAAAGUCUAAGAUAAACACUAAAACCUACUGUAGGUUCAGUGCAUUUAUUAUGAGAAAGAAACUCCAAGGUAGUUUGGCUGAAUCAAUCAAAUGAAUAAAUAUGGAGAACCUAGAUAGAUCAUUAAAAUUCUGGCUCAACUAACAAUUAUUGAGUUCCUAUUAUGCACCAGCCAUACAAAUUAUGUAGUACUGUUCCUCAAUCUUGAAUAAUAUAGGAAUACCCUAUAAGAAUUAUUGUGUGUACCCAAUAUGAUAUUUUAAAGUUACCCUAAUAUGUGCUGUGUGCACAUAGAAAAUUUGGUGUAAACCUGUACUGAUAGCUCCUUUUUAACUAUUAAACCAGAAAUAAUAGAAAUUAAACUAAAAUAUUUGAAAUUAAUAACAUCAAUUUUAAAGCAACAAAGACUAUUGUUUUGCUGAGCUGGAAGUCAUUGGAAAUUAAUACAGCACAUGUUUGUUGUAAUUUGGAAUGCCUACAUUACUAUAUGAUAAUUCAAUUUUCCCAUUAGUUUUCUCUGUUACAAUUUUUUUUAAAAAAAUCUUUGUUCCAGAACAAAGCAGGAACAAUAUUUGACCUUUGCCUGUCAUGUAUGCAUCAUUCAUUUGUUUGUUUUUAUUCUCUACUGUAGCCCAGGGCAAUUUAAGUUUUAUAGCUUGGCACUAACUCAGUUAUAAACACAAAAACCUGGUAUUCAAAUCAGGUGAAAAGUGUGUAUUUAUAUAAUGGUCUUCCCUGUGAUCCAAAGUAUAGUUACAUUUUUAAGUUAUUUUUGAAAUGAAACCUCAAAACUAAAGGUUUUUGAGGAGAAAUCACAAACGUUCAAGAAUAUAUUACUGAAUCACCAGGGAUUGGAGAAGCAAAGGUUAAGAACUUGGGGUUUUAGAAUAGCUCAGACCUGAAAUUUUAUCCAACUAAAAUACACACAAGCUGAGGUCCCUUAGGCAAGAUGCUUAACCUCUCCAAGCCUCAGUUUUGUUACCUUAAAAUUGUACAUAGAAAGAUUACCAUGUCUUUCAGGGUUGUUAACAUUUUAUGAGAUGAUCUUUGUAAACCUUAGCAUAAUGUAGAAUAAAGCAAACAAUCACAAAAUACUAGUUGCUAUAAUGAUAGUAUUUUUAUGUGAAAUACUACAUGUAAUCUAAGAAUUUUGAAUAGAGAAGCUAAUUAUUAAGGGAGCAUCUGAGAGGGAAAAAUACAAGAAAAUAAUAGAUAAUAUAAAAGCCAUUUAAAAAUGACAGCAAACACAAGUGUGCUCACUGGCUGUUACAUGUUUCCUGUUGAGAAAUAAAAAGUCAGGUAAGGCAGGAAAGUGAAACAUAUUCUUAAAUUAUUACAUUUUUAUAGCAUCAAGUAGUGAUUAUGUUGUACUUUGUACUGUAAGAAUACUUUUUUUAAAUAAAAUAAACAUUAGCUAAUCUUUUUCAGUUGCUGGGAUGACAUCCCUUCUACAAUUACUCACAGGAUUUUUAAGGCCUAUGACUUUUUAAAGACAUUGUUUACAAGAAGAUAGUUACUAAACAUUUAUAAUAAUUCUCAAGUAACUUUCUGUUUUUAAUAAGGUGUCCAACUCUAUAUGAAGUAGCUAGAACUUAUCAUUUCAGGUGUUUUUAAAAGACUGCCUGGGGCACCUGUCUGGCUUAAUAGGUAGAGCAUGCAACCCUUGAUCUUGGGGUUGUGAGUUCGAGCCCUGCUUUGGGUGGAGAUACGACUUAAAAAAUGAAAUAGUAUUUAAGAAAAGAAAAUAAAAGACCACCUAGACUAGAGGUAUACACCGUAUAUUCUAAAACACUUGUAUGUCAUCAAUAUAAAUAAUAUUAGUUGCUAUUAGUUUCUGGAUUUUAAAAGUUGCUCCAUCUGCUAUACCUUUGACUGGUGAUGGUGAUGGUCUUGGAGAAAUAUCUCCAGAUCUUCUCUUUUCCUUUUAAUGAAGCAGCCUACAAUUAGGAAAUCACUGUUCAUAAGCAUAACCCACGUAAGUGGGCAUAGAAACAGUUAAGUGGCAAAACUCAGAAAAGCAGCCAUUGACUUACAAGCUCAGCAGCUGCCACUGAGGAGAUAUUUGAUAAUGUAGAAUAAAAAGAAAUCAUAACACAUAAGACUUUUAAUUAGGAGGGAAGACCUUUUCUGGUAGCCUCAUCUCAAAAGGCAGUUGUUCCAGGGAAUUUUUAAAAGCCAGGGAAUUUUUUUCUCUCUUCUUAUUUUCUUUCUUUCUUUCUUUCUUUCUUUCUUUCUUUCUUUCUUUCUUUCUUUCAAACCUCUUACUAUAGUAGCAGAGGGAGGAGAAAGCCUCUAUUUUGAAUGAACCAACAACAGACAUACUUACUAUACUGCUUUAAUUUAAAGAACUUGCAUAGAUCUGUGUAGUUCCUUGUGGACUCAAAAAUUACAAAAAGAAGAGAGGGAGGGAGGAUACCAACUGGGUUCCUCAGACUAAUUUCACGAGAUACUGGUAAGUAUUCUGUGGGGAAAAAAAAAAAAAAGGAUUCCAUUGUAAAUUAAGCACAGGGAAUGCUGAGUUAAACAAAGUAAAAGAAGUUUCAUUAUUGCAACAUUUACUGGAAUUUUUAAUAUGUAUAUUUUUAAUAUAUAUACACAUGUCUCUAAGUGCCUUCAUUGUUUUUAUUUAAGAUUUCAUACCUCACAAAACCAUGAACUAUCUAACUACAUUUAAGAAAAUACUAUAUUNNNNNNNNNNNNNNNNNNNNNNNNNNNNNNNNNNNNNNNNNNNNNNNNNNNNNNNNNNNNNNNNNNNNNNNNNNNNNNNNNNNNNNNNNNNNNNNNNNNNNNNNNNNNNNNNNGCUCAGAGCCUGGAGCCUGUUUCCGAUUCUGUGUCUCCCUCUCUCUCUGACCCUCCCCCGUUCAUGCUCUGUCUGUCUCUGUCUCAAAAAUAAAUAAACGUUAAAAAAAAUUAAAAAAAAAAAAAAAGAAAAUACUGUAUUUGGGGCACCUGCAUGGCUCAGUCAGUUAAGCAUCCAACCCUUGGUUUCAGCUUAGGUCGUGAUCCCAGGGUCAUGGGAUUGAGCUCUAGUGUCAGGCGCCCCCCCCNNNNNNNNNNNNNNNNNNNNNNUUCUCUCUUUCUCUCUCUCUCUCCCAUGCUCGCGCUCUCUCUCUAAAAAAAGAAAAAAGAAAAAAAAACCUGUACUUGAAUGGCCUAAAUUUUAGAUUCCUGUAGACUAAGACUGAGGCUUUGUCAUCACUAUAAGGAAUUGGCAUGGGGUUGAAUUGAAUAUCACAGAUAUUUUGAACAGGAGGAUCAAAUAAGAGCUAUUUCUCUUAUCCACGCAAGACUAAGGUGUACCGAUAUAUUAAACAAGUAUUGGCUGAUAUUUAAUACCACAUAUUAAUGUGGUAAUCACGGCAAUAUUAUAGUGAUAGCUAAAUAUUUUUUACACACACAUUUACAACAGCAUUCUACAACGUAGGUUAAAAUAACUUUAGGGGUGCCUGGGUGGCUUAGUCUGUUAAGCAUCCGACUCCUGAUUUCAGCUGAGAUCAUGGUCUCACCACUUCUGAGAUUGAGCCCCACAUUGGGCUCUGUGCCGAGAUCAUGAAGCCUGCUUGGGAUUCUUUCUCCCUCCCUCCCCUUUCUCUCUGCCCCUCCCCACCCUGCGUGCGCUCCCUCUCUGUCUUAUAAAAUAAAUAAAUAAACUUAAAAAAUUAAAAUUAAAAACCCAGAGCAUUAACUGAGUAGUGUCACAGCCAGCCCUAUCACCACCACCACUCCUAUGCACUCUUAAUCAAAAAGAGGGAGAGGGAGAAAGGAGGCCUUUUGGAGAAAGCAGUGUUUGUGGACAAGCUGUUCCCCAAUAUGUGGUUGGGGUGAAGAGUGCUUGAAGAGAAUUGCUUCUAAAGAUUGGGUUUAUAAAACAUAGGGAAACACAUCUUUUCUCUGUUGGCCAUUUGCUUAGCCCCCCAGAUCUGUUCAUCUCCUAGGGUGGAGGAAGAGAAAGAGGAUUUGAACAAUAAUAGACAGCUGUGCCCAUCAUUUAGUGUGGCAAGAAUAAUGAAGUUUCCUGUAGGUGGCGUGAAUGUCAGGAAAGGUUAAGUGGCUUGAGCCAUUUUGUCAGAAUAAGGACUGACUGCAGCAAGAGCGAACGAUUGCAGCAAGAAAAAUGGAAGAGAUCCCAGUAAUUGGAACCCAGUUUUUGGACACUGGCACAUAGAGGUUAUCCGUAUCUAGUCAGUGAAGAUUGCAUUCUUACCCAGUCAAGUAGAGAAACAUUUGCCCUUUUGUCUUUCAUGUAAGGAAGCCUUUGCCCUUUUCUUUGUCCCUUCUUUCUGCCAUGAACGAAGGCACUAAGUCUGGGAAGGGAGGAAAAACAGGUAUCUGUGAGCCAGGAUGUUCCCCUACUGCCUCCAAGUCACUAGAGCUUUACCUGUACUAAGGUGGGUGGUAGGCAGGAGAAGGAGGGCAGAAGAGUUUUGAAUUGAGCUAGAGAUUGAAGCUUUCAAGUUAACAAGACCGAUUAUUUAAUCUUAGGUUGUUAUGUUUUAAUAAAGUGUCUGAAAAUCACAGAAUAUAUAUGUAAUGUAUCAUUAAAGGAGCCACCCCUCUGGAAACAAGGAAAUUCUACCUGAUGUUGUUGGGGAUAGUUACUGAAAAUAAUAAAGACAUUUCUUGUUUAUUCUCUCAAGGGUUUGAAACAUUUUGCUAAGGAAAACAAACACUUUAAAACAUUUAUCCUUAAGUUUUAUAAAAAUUGUGAUUUGUAUAAUUCUUCAUCAACCUCUUUUGUGAACUUUCUGAAUUUCUGAAGUUUAAAGCAUCCUUACAAGUACAUUAGAGGUGUAUCCACAACUGACAGUUUUGGUGAAGAUUCUAGGGGUCCAGGUAACAAAGUAAACAAUACCAUUUACACAAAGUAUUUUUUUUUAAGCCCUGCUUUUUAUUUUACAUUUGCCCUCAUUACAAAGACAAGCAGCUAUGUCAUUCAAUCCUGAUAUUGUCACCCACACGCCGCAGUGUCAUUCAAUCUUGCUAUUGUCACCCAGGCCAGAUUUUAAACCAAAAGUAGAAUUAAAGAGCCAAGGGGUCUCAGGGCGCCUGGGUGGCUUAGUGGGUUGAGCGGCUGACUCUUGAUCUCAUGGUUAGUGAGAUCGAGCCCUGUGUCAAAAUCAAGCCCUGCAUCAGGCUUUGCACGGACAGUGCUGAGCCUACUUGGGAUCCUCCUCCCUUCUUGGUCCCUCCCCUGCUUAUGCUCUUUUUCUCUUUCUCUCUCUCUCUCAAAAUAAAUAAAACUUUUCGGGGCGCCUGGGUGGCGCAGUCGGUUAAGCGUCCGACUUCAGCCAGGUCACGAUCUCGCGGUCCGUGAGUUCGAGCCCCGCGUCAGGCUCUGGGCUGAUGGCUCAGAGCCUGAAGCCUGCUUCCGAUUCUGUGUCUCCCUCUCUCUCUGCCCCUCCCCCGUUCAUGCUCUGUCUCUCUCUGUCCCAAAAAUAAAUAAACGUUGAAAAAAAAAAAAUUAAAAAAAAAUAAAUAAAUAAAACUUUUUAAAAAAGAAAAGAGCAAGAGGUCUAAAGUACCUCUUUACUUUUUACAUUGGCCUUAAGUUUUUUAAUCAAAUGAAAUUUCACAAAAUUUUAGAUCAGUGUCUUUACUUCCAAUUCAAUAAAAUUAAUACAGUUUCACCCAGAAAAGAGCAAAGAGUAGAUCUAAAACUUUUAUUUAAUAUGAUUUAAGAUGUAGGGGCGCCUGGGUGGCUCAGUCAGUUAAGCGGCCGACUUCGGCUCAGGUCAUGAUCUCACAGUCCGUGAGUUCUAGCCCCGCGUCGGGCUCUGUGCUGACAGCUCAGAGCCUGGAGCCUGCUUCAGAUUCUGUGUCUCCCUCUCUCUGACCCUCCCCUGUUCAUGCUCUGUCUCUCCCUGUCUCAAAAAUAAAUAAACGUUAAAAAAAUUUUUUUUUUUAAAUAUGAUUUAAGAUGUAAUCUUCCAGGUCAGUAGUGAAUUUCAUUGAUGUUUCAGGAAUAAUAUCUAGCAUGACCUGUUCAAACCUUUUAACCAUCUAAUUCAAUAUGAUAUGAAGCCUGAAGAAUUAUUCUUUGUUUGUUUGUUUAUUAGUGAGGGAAUAAUACAAUACAACUGAUUGCUUAGCAACUUCAGAUCUGGGGACAAACAAUUGAAUCAUUCUCAUGUGAAGAACAACAUGAGGGCAUGCAAAUCCUCAGUGCAUUCAUGCUGACAAAUAUUUACUAUGUGCCAGGCACUGAUCCAAACACAGGGAAAUAGUGCAGUAAGGAAGGCAGAUAAGUUCCCUGUUUUCCUGGAAGAGAUAGACAAUAAACAAAUAUUUAUCAUAAUAUUAUGCAGUGAUAAGAAUUAUGAAGGAAAUGAAGCAAGAUAAGGGCUAGAGAGUGACUACGGGAUUGGGUGCUCUUUUAGAUAAGGUAGUCAGUGAAGACUUCCCUAAGGAGGUAACAUUUGAGCAAGUGAUCUGCAGGAAAUGAGGUUUCAUCAAGUUCAGUUGAAAGACACAUGAUUUUGGUGUCAGCUAUGUUAGCUAUGAAUUUAAUAUCCCUUAUAGACUCUCUCUCUCUCUAGACUGAUAGGGAGGGACGGCAGUGAGGGAGAGAUAGAGAUAUCUAUGUAUGUAAAAUCGACAGCCCCAUCCAAGAAACACAGUUAACUUGUCUUUACAAAAAGUAGCAUAUUGCUAUGGAUAGUUAUAUCUUCAUAGAAACUGAUUUUUUCUUGCUUCUGGUCUCAUUCAUUUCAUUCUGUUUUAAUUGAGCAGAUCUUUAUUAAGUGAUUGCUAUGUCCCAGGCCUUAUUCUAGGCUCUUGCCACAUGUCAGUAAAUAAAACAGAUGAAGAUCUGACUAUGUGGAGAUUACAGUCUAGCAGGAAAAGCUAGACAAUGAGUAAUAAACAUGAUAAAUUAUAUACUAUGUUAGAGAGUGAUUUAUGCGGGGCGCCUGGGUGGCUCAAUCAGUUGAGUGUCAAACUUCAGCCCAGGUCAUGAUCUCGUGGUCUGUGAGUUUGAGUCCCAUGUCAGGCUCUGUGCUGACAGCUCAGAGCCUGGAACAUGCUUUGGAUUCUCUCUCUCUCUCUCUCUCUCUCUCCCUCCCUCCCUCUCCCUCUCCCUCUCCCUCUCCCUGUCUCUCUGUCUCUGUCUCUGUCAAAAAUAAACAUUAAAAACAUUUUUUAAAGUUAUUUAUGCUAUAUAAGAAAAAUUAGGCCAGAGAAAUGGAGAUUAUAAAUACGAAGAAAAUGGUAGGUCUCAUUAGUAAAUAGGCUAUUCGGGGUGAAUCUCACUGUGGUUAGACCAGAGCAGACAACUGAAGAGAUGAGGGAGUUAGCCAAGUGCCUCUCUGAGGAAACAGCUCUCAUUGACACAUACCUGCAAACACACAUACAUGCUUUUGCCAUCAAAGAAGUUACUAUCUUUUUUUCAAGACUCAUUAUUAUUGUAGCUUAUAAAAGAAUAGAAUGGAUAUACCAUUACUAUAACUGCUUGAUGGUGUGAAUCUGUUAUCUUUUAUUUACUUAAAUGAUAGCCUAGAUAGAUAGAUAGAUAGAUAGAUAGAUAGAUAGAAUUUUUAACAUGAGAUUAUGAAGCACUGUCUUAGUUUUUUUUGAAGCACUGCCAUUUUAAAAGGUGCUAAAAAUAACAUGAUUAGAAACACAUUUUUAUAUACUGGCGUGUGUAGGUCACACAGUAAAUAUAUUCUUUCUUUCUUGUUCAUAGGUAAUGGUAUUCAAAGUUAUGAAAUCCAAAAUAAUUUAAGAUAAAUUGAAGAGGUGCUUGGGUGGCUCAAUCAGUUAAGUAUCCGACUCUUGACCUCUGCUCAGGUCAUAAUCUCACAGUGGAAUCAAGCCUCGGAUUCUGCUCUGACACCACAGAGCCAGCUUGGGAUUCUCUUUCUCCCUCUCUCUCUCUGUCCCUCCCCUGCUCUCUAUCAAAAUAAAUAAAUAAAGUUCAAAAAAAGAUAAAUUGAAAAACAUGGUAGCUUUCUUACUUCAUUCUAUAAAUUGAAUGCAGGUUUAACAAACAUAAGGAUUUGUUAGUAUGAGCAGUUAGAAAAAUAGACUGUUCUGAGUUCCUUUAAUAAAAUAAUUUAGAUUCUUUCAUGUUACUUUUGCUUCAUUUUAUCUGCUUUCCAGAUAUCAUUAACUUUAUUAUAAGUUUAAUAAAAUCAGCCUUCAUCAAUUUACAUGCAAUGUCUGUUAUUUUGUAAAGUAAAAUCUAAUCUUUAUGUUCCGAAGACAUGACUUUUUUUUCUUUUUUAAUUUUUUUUUUGAACGUUUAUUUAUUUUUGGGACAGAGAGAGACAGAGCAUGAACGGGGGAGGGGCAGAGAGAGAGAGGGAGACAGAGGAUCUGAAGCAGGCUCUGUUCUGACAACAAAGAGCCCAAUGCAGGGCUCGAACUCAGGAACUGUGAGAUUAUGACCUAAGCUGAAGUUGGAUGCUUAACCCACCAAGCCACCCAGGAAGGCACCCUGUGAUAUUGUCAUUUAUAAUAAUAUAUAUUUGGUUUCUAUCCCCAUUCCUAACAGAGUUCCUAAAACCCUUGGCAUUUCCCAAGUGAUAAGAAAGAUAAAGAUGUCUUGUUGUUCAUAACAAUCCCCUGUAAACCACACCAGAGUUUAUGUUAAUGAGGUGACUUUUGGAAAGCUUCCAGGGGAACCAACAACAUCAUUAGAGGAAUAGGACUUUCAGGCCCACCCUCCACCCCCAACCUCCAGGAAGAGGAGAGGGGCUGGAGGGUGACUCAAUUAUCAAUGGCCAAUGAUUUAAUCAAUCAUGUCUAUGGUAAUGGAGCCUCCACAAAAUGGGUUCAAAGGACUUUCAGGUUGGUAAACAUAUGGUGGUGCUGGGAGGGUGGUACACACCCCUUUCCCCAUACCUUGCUCUAUGUAUCUCUUCUAUCUGGCUGUUCCUGAGUUGUAUAUCCUUUUAUAAUAAACUGGUGAUCCAUUAAAUAAACUGUUUUCCUGAGUUCUGUCCCCAAGGAAGGGACUGUGGGAACCUCCAAUUUGUGGCGAGUUGUUCAAAGCAUAGAUAACAACCUGGACUUGGGAUUGACAUAUGAAGUGGGGGCACUUUUGUAGGACUGAGACCUUAAACAAUGGAAUUUGAUGCUGUUUUCAUAUCGAUAUUGUCAGAAUUAAAUUGACUUGUAGGACACCCAGCCAGUAUCCACAGAGAAUUGGAGAAUUGCUUGGUGUGGGGGGAAAAAAACCCCACACAUUUGGUAACUAGAAGUGUCAGAGGUGAAAUGUGAGUGUUGUGUGUAUGUGUAUGUGUAUAUGUAUAUAUAUGUUACAUACUAUAGUAUACAAAGUUAUACUGUACUCUUGAGUUUGAAAACUGUUUAUAUAGCAUGCCUCCUUUAGCUAGGGAAGGAGAAGAGUCACGCUUUCCAUCGUUCCUCCUUUCUCUGUGGCAGUUGGAGUUCUGCCUGAAAAAUUGUGUUGCCAGACUGGCAGUUACCAGCUUUUAGAUAUAAAAAGUUGGUCAUGAAGACUGUUAAGUUUAACCCCAAAAUGUUUUUAUAUUGACACCAAAAUAUUUUUGCUUAUUUUUUUUUGCUUUUUUUUUUUUUUUUUUUUUUUAAGUAAUCUCUAAGCCCAAUAUGGGACUCAAACUCAUGACCCUGAGAUCAAGAGUCACAUGCUCUACCAACUGAGCCAGGCAGGUGCCCUGUUUUUGCUUUUAUAUCAACAGUCUGAAGAUUCAAAAGAUAAGUAAAUGAAAGGACAGCAUUCUCAUUUUUCCCUUUAAUCUGCACAAAUGUUGAAUAGAGCAGUAGAAAUAUUCUAUUAAAAUAUGAAUAGCAUUGUAUUUUAAAAGCAGCCAUGAGAACUCUGCUGUCUGAUAGACUUAAUCUUUGAAUGAUGAAGGUAACAUAGUCCUUGGUUCUACCCAACUACACAUGCCCUCAACUACUGAUACUAAACUAGAUCAUAUGUCAAAAUUCAUUGUAUCUAAGAAGUCCUUAGGAUAACAAGUUAAUCUUUGACACCUACCCCUUAAUCGUUGUAGGUCCUCAUCCCUGAUAAGUACUUCUUUCUUUUAAAGUUUAUUUAUUUAUUUUUGAGAGAGAGAGAGACUGAGGAAGGAGCAGAGAGAGGGAGAGAGAGAGAAUCCCAACUAGGCUCCACAUCACCAGCGUGGAGCCCAAUGCGGGGCUCAAACUCAGGAACUGUGAGAUCAUGACCUGAGCCAAAGUCGGAUGUUUAACCGACUGAGCCACCCAGGUGGCCCCACUUUCUUUCCUGCAGGAGCGCUCUAAUUCCACAGGAGAUUGGGGAUGGGAGAAGACAAACCAAUCUUACAGAAAGUGGGUACUGCACAAGUUAUUAAGGCCUAGGGAUCCAACUACUUUAACUAGAAAUAUUAUAGGAAGUUGAUGAAGGAUUAGCCGUUUAACCUUAUGAAGAGUAAUGUGAGCUAUAGACACUGUGCUCCUUAAAUUUUUCCUGAACAAGGACAAAAUUGACUCAUUAAGCCUUGCACAGAGCUGAAAGUUCAUAUGAACUUUUAAGUUUAGAACUGUAGGUAGUGGAGAGAUUGAGCAGUCCAUGCUGAUUUCCAGUUUCCCAGAAUUUUUUGCUGCCAUAUUUCUCUUUGCUCUGCCUUUCCUUUACUUACACACAUUUCCAAUGAAAGUUAUUUGCUCUAUAUAUGAUCUUCUCAAAGUUAGACAAUCGUUACUUUUAAUAGAAUAUCAGGUAGUUACUCUGAUAGUACAGCCAAACAAACAGGCCUACAUUCCUGCAUAGGUUGCCUGCUCACGAAAUUAGCCCUCUGCAUAAAUGCAAGAAACAUAAUGAGAAUCGUAGAAGUCUAGUGCAACAAACACAACUUCUAAUCUUGUCUUCUGCAAGAAUUCUUUUUUUUUUUUUUUUUUAAUAUUUAUUUUGAGGGUCGUCUGGGUGACUCAGUCUGUUAAGCUUCCAACUUCGGCUCAGGUGAUGAUCUCACGGUUCUGAGUUCAAGCCCCACAGUCAGACUCUGUGUUUAUUAAUAAAUAAACAUUUAAAACAAAUUUUUAAUAUUUAUUUUGAGAGAGAGUAUUUAUUUAUUUUUUGAGAGACAGCAUGCGAGUGAGUGGAGGAGGGGAAGAGAGGGAGAGAGAGAAUCUCAAGCAGGCUCAAUGCUCAGCAUGGAGCCCAACAAGGGUCCCAAUCCCACAAACCGUGAGGUCAUGACCUGAGCCAAAAUCAAAAGUUGGACCCUCAACCAUCAAGGGUUCAUCGAAGGUCCUCAACCAUCAAGCCAUCAAGGCACCCCUCUUCUGCAAGAAUUUUUAAGGAUACUUAUGCUUAUUAAGGUUUUAUUUAGAAAGUUAGUUGAUGAUAUGACUGCAAAAGUUGUCAUUAGCAUAUUUUCUCACAGUCCAAAUUAAAGUGGAUAGCUAUGUUAAAAAAUCAGAAAUUGGUAUCAGUUAAAUCAUAAUUUGUGUUAGAACAACAUAUAUAAAUUCAUAGUUUCUAAGAAGAGAAAAGUUAUUUUUCAGUUUCAACAGAGGAUGAAAUUUUAAUAAGCAGUCCUAGGACUUAUUUUCUAUAAGUUAAUGGCAUCAGCUAUGAAUUUUCCUAGUUUGAGUAGAACAUUCUUUUGGCCUCAUUAAUAAAAAGCUAUGCUUUAGCAAAGUAGCCCUAGUGUUAACGCCAAAUAACUGCUUCAUUGGCCUGAUUAUUAAUAAUCACUAGACAAAUCACCAGGGGAAAAAGCCACUCAUAUUUCACAUUUGUCAGACAAGCUUAUGACUGUAGAACCUAGAAAGUACAGCAGGUAAAUCGCAAUGCACCUAAUCAGGCUUAUUUAGUUUACAUAUUUUCAUAAUGUGCAAAGUGGAAUUUGACCAAGAACCUUUCUACUUAAUUACAACAGAUUUAAUAGCCUUUCUCUCCUUAAAAACUUCACAACAGUUAAGAAAGCCAAACUAACUUUUUUUUUUUUUUAACUUCUGGUUUGGAUUUUCAGGUUGGCUACCUGAUUCGUGGGUGAAAUUGAUAAACAGAUAAAUUCUUAUUGUGACAGUUCUUUGUGAAAAAAAAAAAAAUGAAUGGCUAUAUAAAUACAGAACUUACGUUUCAACCCUCCUAAAUUGCUCUCUUGAAUUUUACAACUUACUCUUGGCCUUGAGAAACUGGAUCACUGAAUGAAAUGUCUUCUCAUGUUACCCUCUCUCUAUCAAUCUACUAUGCGCCAAAUGGAGAUACCUCAGUUAUCUGAGGCAGGCAGAGUGUGGCAGACAAUAGACAUUAAUACAUAAGCAAAAUUUUGGUAUGUUAGAUAUGGUUAAGUACUAGGGAGAAAGAGAAAGCAGAGAAGGAAUAUAGGGAGUUCAGGGUGGAUUCUGAAUAUAGAGUAAGGUAGAAUAAAGAGCUCUCAAAUCCAUUUAGUUUAUCAUUGAUUGAAAUAUUACUUUGUAUAAUCAUUUGUUUUAUACCUUUUCAUGGUAAAGUAUUAUAAUCCUUUCCCAGUUAAAUACAUCCUACCACAUGAUAUUAGUGGCUGCAUAGUGUAGUGUGGAUAUAGCAUAAUAUAGCCAUUGUAUAGAUAGAACAGCUUAUUUAAUCAGUCCUCUUUUUUCUUGAGGAAGAGAGAGAGAGACAGUGUGAGCAGGGGAGGGGCAGAGCUAGAGAGAGAAUCUCAGGCGGGCUCAAUGCCCAGCACAGAGCCCAAUGCUGGGCUCAAUCUCAUGACUAUGAGAUCAGGACCUGAGCCGAAAUCAAGAGUUGGACGCUUAACCAACUGAACCACCCAGGUACCCCAAUCAGUCUUCUGUUGAUCAUUUAAGCAUUUUCCAAUUUUUCUCUAUUAUAAAUACCAUUAAAAUAAACAUCCUUGGGGCGCCUGGGUGGCUCAGUUGGUUAAGUGUCUGACCUUAGCUCAGGUCAUGAUCUCGUGGUCCGUGAGUUCAAGUCCCGCGUCAGGCUCUGUGCCAACAGCUCAGAGCCUGGAGCCUGCUUCAGAUUCUGUAUCUCCCUCUCUCUCUGCCCUUCUGCCACUCAUGCUCUGUCUCUCUGUCUCUCCCUCAAAAAAUAAAUAAACAUUUAAAAAAAAAUUUUUUUUUAAAUGAGCAUCCUUAGGAAGCCUGAGUGGCCCAGUCAGUUAAGCAUCCAGCUUCGGCUCAGGUCAUGAUCUCAUGGUUCGUGGGUUGGAGCCCCACUUCAAGUUCUCUGCUGACAGCACAGAGCCUACUUUGGAUCCUCUGUCUCCCUCUCUCUCUGUCCCUUCCCUACUCUCUCUCUCUCUAAAAUAAAUAAAAAUUUGGGUGCCUGGGUGGCUCAAUUGGUUAAGCAUCCAAUGUCAGCUAGAUCAUGAUCCCAUGAUUCACGGUUCAAGCCUCAAAUGGGGCUCUGUGCUGACAGCUCAGAGCCUGGAGCCUGCUUUGCAUUCUGUGUCUCCCUCUCUCUCUGUCUCUCCCCUGCUCACGCACUGUCUCUCUCUCUCUCGUUCUCUCUCUCUCUCUCUCAAAAAUAAAUAGACAUUAAAAUAAUAAAAUAAAUAAACAUUAAAAAAAUGAACAUCCUCAUUAUUACAUUUUUGCAAAUAUAAUUACUGUAUAAUUUAGGGAUCUCUGCCUAUUGAUUUUAGGAAUUACUCUGCUAAAUUUGAACAGUAAAAGAGAAACUAGAAAAGCAGAACUAUUUAUAAACCAACAACUUAGGUUGUUUUUUUUUUCCUUUUUUUUUUUAAAGUAACCUCCAUGCCCAACAUGGGGCUCAAAUUCAUAACCUCAAGAUCAGUAGUCACAUGCUUUCCAAACUGAGCCAGCCAGGUGGUUGGUAUUUUUCCAGCUAUAACCAUGGAAAGAAGAUUAUCUACAUCAGAUGUGCAUUGAUAGAGCUUAAAAUAUUAAAAAAUAUUUUGAAUAUGAAAUAUUUAUAAAUUCUGUGCUCAAGGUUGAAUGAACAGUCUGUAUUUCAGAAUUUGUUUUCUAUUUCUGAUAGACUUAGUUAUUACUAGGAACAGAUGACCAUUACAAGAACUGUCACCAUUUUACCAUUCUACAUGAACUGUGGCCAGGCUGGAUUUCUGGCACUGGAGCAUUCACGUCCAUCUGUUUAGAAGGCAUUAUGCCCACUCAUGAGAUUUAUGCCAGUUUCCAAAAGUCAUGUGUAAAUCAAGAGAGGCAAUGUAUGUUCUUUGAGAUAUAAAUCAUCUAUUAUUUAAUCUCUUUGAAUUAUGUUCUUAGAAAAGACCUUUAGCCACUUACUGAUUUAAGAUAACUUUCAAUUAGGCAUAUAUGGAAAGAAAAAUAUAAGCAAAGUUUUAACUUUAUUAAGUAAUAUAAAUAGAAUACAAAGUUUUCCAUCAUAAGAAAGUUGAAAUUUGAAAACGUGCUAUGAGAAGUCCUUAAAGUUUUAAUAUACCAUUUGAAGGAAAGAAACUAACAUUUAUUUGGCACCUGCUGUGCGCAAGAUGCUUUUACAGAUUUGUUUAUAUAAUUUUCAUCAUAAUCUUGUGAAAUAGGUAUCAUUGUCCCCAUUUUGCAGAUAAGAAACUAAAAGAAAUGUCUUACCUAGGAUCACACAUAGGAAAUAACUAAGAUAAUUCCAAGCCCAGUUUAGUCUGACUCCUAAACUCAUGUUCUUUUAGCUACAGAACACUACAUAAGUGGUUGGGAUUCAAACAUCAGGCUGAAUUUACAAAUCUGUGAUGUGGAUUGAAAGUGGUUUUUAGAAGUUAAAAUUAAAAAAAAAAAAUCAACCAACCAAAUGAUUGCUUUAUUCUCAAAACUCAACUGAACGUUCCAAGGUAAGUGUGAAGGUGUACAUCAGCUCUCAUUAUCAAGAAGGCAACACCAAAUAGCAAUAAACUAUUUUGAUGUAAAAGAAUAUCUACUUAGACAAGAUGAAAGGGGAAAAAAACCAUCUGAUGAGCUGUUUGCUUCCCUAUAGAUCAGUGAUUUUCAAACUAAAUAAAAAAAAAAAAAAGCUAUUUCUUUUCCCCAAGCAAAGCUACAUAAAUGAGAAUGGUUGAAACAAGGGUGCUUACUAGAGGGAGGUAGAGGCAGGUUGCUCCCUGUCCAGUUUUCUCUCCCAAUGUCGCUGUGACCUCUGAAGGAAUGCCCAUAAAUCCCAGGACUCAGAAUGUCAUUUAAACCCCCCAUGUUGCAGCUGGAACACUUGGUUGAUCAGCUUACUUUUUCAGUAUUCAACUGAUUUAUUUUGGUUAUCUACUGAUCACAGUAAAAAUGUGACUUGAAAGUGGUAAAAAAGUUCUUAGGGCAAUAGCUAAGUACUUUUUAUUUUAUACUGAAUUACCUUUCCUUAUUUCUCCCAGUCAAAAUCAACUAAUUAAUUUAUCUUUCAAAUGUUUUGACCCUCAACUGACUGCCAGGCUCUAUCUUGAUAACUAUCUUCGGGAAGCUUAGAUUCUAGUUGGUAGAGCCCUAUAAUAAAGAAGUGAAAAAAAUCCAUCUGUGCUAUAAAGAAAAUAAGUAUUUUUAGUAAAGAAUGGUUAUGGCAUAUUGGACUACUUUACUUUUGUCUUAUUAGUAAAUGUUACUUGUAUUAGAUUAAAUGUGUUCCUCAAAAGUUCACAUCCACCCAGAACCUCAGAGUGUGAUUUUAUUGGAAAUAGGGUCUUUGCAGAUAUAAUUAGUUAAGAUGAAAUUAUAUUGGAUCAGGGUGAACCAUAAUAAAAUGACUCCUGUCUUUAUGAAAAGAGAAAAUGGAGACAUAGAUAAACAGGGGAGAAAACUAUAUAAAGGAAACAGAUCUGAGUGAUGAUCUAUAAGUCAAAGUACAUCAAAAAUUAUCAGCAACCACUAAAAGCUAGGAGAAGCAAGGAAGGAUUCUUGCCUAGAGGCUUGGAAGAGAGCAAGGCCCUUGAUUUCAGAUUUCUAGACUCCAGAACUGUGAGAGUAAGUCUCUAUUGUUUUAAGGCACCCAAUUUGUGUUAAUUUGUUAUGGCAACUUUAAGAAACUGAAAAACUACUUUAGAUAGAAUAGGAAGACUUCUCUUACUAUACGAUUUUUUUUUUUGAGAGAGAGAGAGCAUGGGUGGGAGAGGGGCAGAGAGAGGGGGAGAGAGAGACAGAAUCCCGAAUAGGCUCAGAACUGUCCGUGCAGAGCCUGAUGCAGAGCUCAAAUUCACAAAGCAUGAGAUUGUGACCUGAGGCAAAAUAAAGGCAAAAUGACCUCAGACACUUAACCAACUGAGCCACGCAAGUGCCCCAGUAUAUGAUUUUUAAACAGAGACAUAAAUGAUGAGAAGGACCCAGCCAAGAGGAAAUACUUACUGGUGUUAUUUUAUAUUUUAUCUACAGGUAUAUAAAUUACUAGUUCUAAAACAAAGUUAUUAUUUUCUCCCUCUCUCCAAAUAUGUUUCCUCUGCAAAAACUUUAUAAAGUAGAUAUUAAUAUCCCUAUUUUUCAUAUAGAGGCUAAGGAACUUGGACAGGGUCACACACCUAGUUAGUGGCAGAGUCUAGAUUCAAACUCAGGUAAUCUGGCUUCAAGAACCUAAAUUUACCGGAUUAUUCUAACACUAUUUCUUAAAAAAAAAAUUUUUUUUUAAUGUUUUUGUUAAUUUUUGAGAGAGAGACUGAGCACGAGGAGGGGAGGGGCAGAGACAGAGGGAGACACAGAAUCCAAAGCAGGCUCCAGACUCCGAGCUGUCAGCACAGAGCCCGACGUGGGGCUCAAACUUGUGAACCACAAGAUCAUGACCUGAGCCGAAGCCAGACACUUAACCGAUGCUUAACCGCUUAACUGUCACCCAGGCGCCCCACUAGCACUAUUUCUUAGGUUUCAGGCAACAUGCUUUAAUACUGUCUACAGGCUUCUAAGUUCCCCUUUUGUGAUAUUCCACUUAAUCUAGUCUUACAUGUAGAAUGCAGCUUCUCUCUUUUGUCUCCUACUUAUCCUCCCCUUUUUAAUAAUAGUAGUAAUAACAGUGAUAAUCAUAAUUGCUAAACUUACUGAACACUAUGCCAGCUCUCUUAAUCCAAGGAACAAUCCCAUAAGGUAGCUACUAUUAUGACCUUAAGCCUAGAAGAAUGGCUAUUAUGGAAAUUCUAAACAGAGCUAAGAGACAUUUUGGAGGGGUAAUAGAUUUGGUUUUUCCUUCAAUCGGAACACACAGGUUUUUAUUUAUUUUUUAUUUAUUUUUUAUUUUUUUUAAUAUAUGAAAUUUAUUGUCAAAUUGGUUUCCAUACAACACCCAGUGCUCAUCCCAAAAGGUGCCCUCCUCAAUACCCAUCACCCACCCUCCCCUCCCUCCCACCCCCCAUCAACCCUCAGUUUGUUCUCAGUUUUUAACAGUCUCUUAUGCUUUGGCUCUCUCCCACUCUAACCUCUUUUUUUUUUUCCUUCCCCUCCCCCAUGGGUUNUUCACAGAUCAGAGCCUGGAGCCUGCUUCAGAUUCUGUGUCUCCCUCUCUCUCUCUGACCCUCCUCCGUUCAUGCCUCUCAAAAAAUAAAUAAACAUUAAAAAAUUUUUUUUAAUAAAAAAAACUACUAUAGAAGAAAUCUCAGAUGCAUAAAAAAGUUAAUAUGAUAUAGAAAAAUGAGCAUUGAAAUUGUUGAAAAUUUUGUGUUGUAUUCCCUGCUCUGCAACUUACUAGCUACUUACCUCACUAAUAUCACCUAAUCUCUCUGAGUCAGCUUUAAUGUGAGCGUAAAAAAAUUUUCCAUGCCUGACAGGAUUAGUGUGAAGAUCAAAUAUGAAAGAAGCUAAUGUAUAUUAGGGGCACCUGGGUGGCUCAGUUGGUUGAGCGUCCAACUUCAGCUCAGGUCAUGAUCUCCCGUUCGUGGGUUCGAGCCCCAUAUCGGGCUCUGUACUGACAGCUCCAAGCCUGAAGCCUGCUUUGGAGUCUGUGUCUCCUUCUCUCUGCCCCUCUCUCUCUCACACUCUAUCUUUCUCUCUCUGUCUCUCUCUCAAAAAAAAAUUAAUAAAUAUUAAAAAAAAUUUUUAAUAAAAAAUCAAAAAGAAAUAAGCUAAUGUAUAUAUUAGAGUGUUUCAUAAAGUCGUGUAUGACUUUGCCACACACACACACACACACACACACACAAAACUUCACAAUCACACUUCCAUAAAACAGCUAAUAAUGAAUAUGCAAUAUUGAAUAUUCUGACCAUCCAAUAUAAUAGGAAGACUUAGUGACAUUGUUUUUGGAGAACUUUUUAAUAACCUAGACUGCCCAUCGCUUAAUUCAUUUGUAAGAUCUCUAAAUGACACCAGUUUUCUUUCCCAUUGCCUUUUAUCUUGCUUUUACAUUUCACCUCUCCUCCGUUCUAAAUUUUGUUGGAAGGCAACACAUAAGUUUUUACUUUUAACUCUUUCCUUAGAAUUUUUUGCAUGUCACAUCUGAGUUUGUGUCGGGUUUCUCCUGCAACAAGAAUUAUCUAAAUGCCACGUAAGAGUGUGAAGAACUUGUCAGAAAGAAAAAUGUGAAAGACUUUUCUCAUUGAUAACCACUUACCAAGUAAUCUGGACGCAUUAAGAAAAGUUUUGAGUGGAGGGUUUGAGUAGGAGAGGGUGGUCGAAGUAGUUUGUUCCGCUUUACUCUGGAGCGCCACCUGCUGGUAAAUUGAGUCUAACAGUGGCAAAUAAGAAUUAGGCUGGGAGAUUAGAACAAUCAAAACUUGUUUUAUAUAAAGCACAUAUUAGUUAUUAGAAUCAUUGUGGGAAAUGAUUUGAUUUACCAACUGAAUGAUUCAAUUAUUAGAGAGAUUUUCCUCAAAGCUUUUUUUUUUUGUAGGAAUUUAUUUAUUUUAAAUUCUGGGCUUUAAUCAGAAAACCACAAAUAUGAAUCGACGGCCCAUUUGUUAAUUAAUCAAAUAUUUAAGUGUUUAUGUAUCACACUGUACUAGACACUGGGAAUGCAAUGGUGAGAAUAGAUAGAAUCUUCCAGCCCUCAUUGUGGAGUUCAGACUAAAAAGAAAAAGUGAUAAAUAGAUUGCUAAAAGACGAUAUGAAUAAAGCAAAUAAAAAGCCAGAGAGAGAAUACAGUGUGGUAGAGGGAAACUACUUUGGAUGGGACUUUCAGGAAAGGCAUUUCCAAUAAGACCUUUAAGAACUUGUUUUUUGCUAUACUCGCAGCACUAAGCACAGUGCCUACUACAUAGUCAACGCUCAGUGAAUAUUUGUUGAGUAAAAACGAUGGAUGACACAGGGUGAUAACCCUUAAAUAGGGGCAUUGAACGGAGCUGAAGCACCAUCAGCUUUUCUUUUUGGUCUGAUCUAUGUACAUGGGUCAUGCUGGCCUAAUGAUACAGAAAUGUGGUAAGAGUACAUGAAAACUGCUGGAAAUCUGUGUAGCAUAAUCGUUUUCUGUUGGCACUGGACCAGCUUAUAAAAGCCAAUUCAAGUUCAAAGACUGAUGACAUGAUGACUCAGUUCAAGGCUACUUUUGUUUUAAACUAUGAAACAAGGAGUGCUGGGGAUCUAUACACCAAAUAAGGAUACAAAUGAGUGGAUUCAGCUCCCUGUUGCCUUUAUUGUAGUUCACAAAUGCCCAAGUUCAGUAACUGAGGCAUCCCAAGAGGAAUCAGAUCAAAGAGUUUGAGAGCUAUAGACCUUUAUAACAUUAGGCUGGGUGAGGGGUCAUACUUAAGGGUCUAAUCCACUACCAUAUAAAAAAAUGUAUCGUUGCAGUACAGUAAUAUCUUUUUGCAGUUUGUUUCUGAUGCAUCACCUGCCCUACACUAGACCUGUAGGCCUACCAAAACUUCAGCAAAGCCAAAUCUAAUUGGAGAGCUAAGAGUAAGAUGCAAACUUACAUGGAAUCAAUAUUUAAGUGCUAGCUAAUAACUGUAAUAAAAAUUGAAUAAGAGGGGCACCUGGGUGGCUCAGUCAGUUAAGCAUCCGACUUCGGCUCAGGUCAUGAUCUCAUGGUUUGUGAGUUCGAGCCCCGUGUCAGGCUCUGCGCUGACAGCUCACAGCCUGGAGCCAGCUUCAGAUUCUGUGUCUCCCUCUCUCUCUCUGCCCCUCCCCUGCUCAUGCUCUGUCUCUGUCUCCAAAAUAAAUCAAACAUUAAAAAAAAUUUUUUUUAAUUGAAUAAGAAAAAAGGGAAACAACUUUUUAAAAAAAAAUUUUAAUGCUUAUUAUUUAUUUUUGAGAGAGAGAGACAGAGUGUGAGCAGGGGAGGGGCAGAGAGAGAGAGGGAGACACAGAAUCCCAAGCAGCUCCAGGCUCCGAGCUGUCAGCACAGAUUCCGACGCGGGGCUCAAACUCACAAACCACAAGAUCAUAACCCAAGCAGAAGUCGGAAGCUCAACUGACUGAGCCACCCAGGCGCCCUGGGAAACAACUUUUUUAAUGACCUAACUCUUGUGAAACUGGCUCCUGUUGAUAGCCUUGUACUUUGCAUUCAGUAGACCCACAUAGUAUGCACAUCUUUUUUCCACACAUAAACAGAUACGAAUAACAUACCUACAAAUACAAUCUAUAAGCAUUGAUUAAAUCCCCUUCUUCAGGAUGAGUACUCUGAACUUUAGGUGGGCAUAUUGUUGGUUCCACAAAAAGACUACACUUCCUACCCUACAGCUCUACUAGGAGUGGCUUUGGGAUGAGUUCUUGGCCAUUGAAAUUUAAGAGGAAGUAUUGUGUGGUAUUUCUGGAAAAUCUUGAAAGACGAGUGUGUACCUAUCCUUUGACAGUGCUGCUUGGAAUAUAGUUAUGGUGACUGGUGCUCCAAAAUUCAUGUUAGACCAAGAAGAUAAGGGCGAUACCUAUGGCAAAACAACAGAAAACUGGAGGGAUCUUGAUAUACUGUACAACCCUACACUAUUUCUUGUCUUCUUAUAUGCAAGAGAGAAACAUCUGUCUUACUUAUGACAUUGCUCUUUGGAGUUUCUAUUACUCUGCUGAAUUUUAUCCUAACCAAUUUGGCAAGUAAUGUAGAUUUUACUGAUGUUUUCAUGACAAAUGGAGGAGAAGGCAUCAUUUCACACCACGAGGCAAACAAUCGUUUCAUUAUACAAGUUCCCUCUCUAGUCUCUUUCCAGAUCCAAAUUCUCUUUAGCCCAGCCAGCCCUCUACCCCAACCAUCUGUACCUUUUUUUCCUCUGUUGGAUCCCACUCUUAUGUCUCUGAUCCUGUAAUGUCACUUGGACAGGAAUUCUACUUGCUUCAGCCCUUCUUCAGGGAUUCCUUUCCCUAUAAAGAGGGACUGUCCUACCUGAGCCUUUCCUUGGUGAAUGUUUUGAAUACUGUACGGUCUGCCACAAGAUGAUAGCGACAGUAGCAUCGACAUCAACCCACAUGAUUAAAUGCUUACUAUGGGCAGUCAUUUAAUUCUCACCACCACCCUAUAAAGUGUUACCCUACUUUACAGACAGGGUAAGUAAUCGGCCAGUGGCAGAGAAGUCUAGCUGUCUACCCAAAAUUCAUGCUCCUCCUUCCCUAGAAUGGAGUUUUCAUUGAAAAUUUACCAUCCAUCACACUACAUAUACAUUCAUAAUUGUCAUAUUUUCCUAAUAUAUUGAUCCUUUAUCAUUAUGAAGUAUCCCUUUUUGUCCCUAGUAAUAGUCCUUUUCUUGAAGUCUUUUUUGUCUGAUAUUAAUAGAAAAACUCUCGCUUUCUUGUGUUUACUGUUUCUAUGGGGUAUCUUUUUUUCUUUAAAUCCAUUUGUCUCUGUAUUUAAAGUGCAUCUUGUGUAGACAGCAUAUAGUUAGUACUUGCUUUUCACCGUUCUUAUUAUUUUUUAAAAUUUUAUUUUUAUAUAAUUUCUACACCCAACAUGGGGCCUAAACUCAUAACCCCAAGAUCAAGAGUCACAUGUCCUACCAACUGAGGCAGACAGGCACCCCUAUUACAUAUUAAAUAUGUUUUAAAAUAAAAUUUGUGUUUAAUGUAUAUAAUAAACAUAUUUAAUAUGUUUUAAUAUAUAUUUAUACUUAUGCACAGGUCUACCAUUUUGCUAUUUUUUAUUUAUCUCAUUGAUGUUUUUGUUUUUCUUUCUUCCUCAUUUCCUUCUUUUGUGUUAAUUGAAUAUUUUUUAGUAUACCAUUUUAAUUUGCUGACUUUCUAACUACCUUUCUUUUCAUUAUUUUUUUUAGUUUCUGUAGAGUUUCUAAAAAUGCAUUUUUAACUUAUCCCAAUCUACUUGGAGCUGUAUUGAAUUACUCCAGAUAAAAUGUAGAAUACUUGCAAUAGUAUAAUUCCAUUUACCCCUUGUUCUUAGUGCUAUUUUUGUUGUGUAUAUAUAACAUGUAUAUCUGUUAUAAACUCAUCAAUACAGUGUUACACUUUUUUGCUUUAAACAGUCAUAUAUAUGUCUUUUAGCUAAAGAAAGAAAUAUGUACUGAUUAUUUUUUACACUUACCCACAUAUUUACUAUUUCUAACUCUUUGGUAUAAUUUCAUUAUACUAUCAAGAAUCUUGAAAUAUAUAUAUAUGUGUGUGUGUGUGUGUGUAUAUGUAUAUAUAUAUGUAUAUAUAUGUGUAUAUACACACACACAUACAUAUAUAUAUAUAUAUAUAUAUACACACACACAUAUAUAUAUGACCAGUAAUUGUACUUAUAGGAAUUUUUAUGGCAAUAAUUAGCGAAUAAUUUUUUUUAAUGUUUAUUUAUUUAUUUUGAGAGAAAGAAAGAGUGCAAGUAGGAGAGGAGCAGAGAGAGAGGGAGAGACAGAAUCCCAAGCAGGCUGGCUCUGUCCUGUUAGUACAAAACCUAACACGGGGCUCCAUCCCACAAACCAUGAGAUCAUAACCUAAGUCAAAAUCAAGAGUCAGAUGCUUAACCAACUGAACUACCCGGGCACCCUGGGACCAAAUUUUUUUAUAAUCAUGUUUUUCUCACUAUUUCUUAUAGCUAAAAAUUGAAAUAAAAUAAAUGUCUAAAAUUAGGAAAGGCAUUACAUAAGCUAUUUUACAUACAUAGGAUGAAUAAGUACAUUUGUUUUAAAAAAAAAAUUUUUUUUUAACAUUUAUUUAUUUUUGAGACAGAGAGAGACACAGCAUGAACGGGGGAGGGGCAGAGAGAGUGGGAGACACAGAAUCGGAAACAGGCUCCAGGCUCUGAGCCAUCAGCCGAGAGCCCGACGCAGGGCUCGAACUCGCGGACCGCGAGAUCGUGACCUGAGCUGAAGUCGGACGCUUAACCGACUGAGCCACCCAGGCGCCCCGCGCAUUUGUUUUUAUAUUGGAUGUUGGUUAGCUAGGACAUAUAUAACAUUGUUUAGUUUUUAGGAAAAAAAGACUGAAAAGAAAUAUAUCUAGAUACUAAUAGUGGUUCUUUCUGGCUAGUGGAUUUUUUGUGUGGAUUACUGCCUUUUGCUUAUUUAUACUUUUCUGCAUUUUUUACAACAAUAUAUGACCUUUUAUAAUCAGAAGACAAGUGCAAUGAGAAAAAAUUCCAAAUGGGUGAUGUUAUGUAAACAUUGGACAGGAUCUUUGAAACCAGUUAGUCAUAAUAUUGAGAAUAAAUAAUUUUCUUAAAUACAUCAACUUGAAUUCAGGAUAACCUGUGUCUUUAGUUUGACAAGUUUGAAAUAUAGACUGUAAGAAGAGAAAUUGUGGCAAGAAGUAUAUGGAUUUAUAUAUUAUUCAAUAUAUUAAAGCCUAUUCUGUUAGUAGGCUUAGCUUUUCUGGUGUGAUUUAAAGAUUGUUACAGGUCCAUAAGUGUCUUAAAGUAUCUCCCUCACUGGCUGCAUGAGCCCUAGAAAUUCCUAUAAAGCAACUCCUCUUGUUUAAAGUUCUUUUAUCUUUCUUCCAAUGAAACUUACCUUAUUUUACCUAGCAGAGUAGCAUCCAUUGACAUAACUAUGGGUUAAUUUAUCAGACUCGGGACAUUCUGAUGAGGAAUAUUUUGGCAGUUUGGGGAAAAACUGAGAGAUACAUAGCUGUCAGAGCAGGGCAAUUCUAGACAGAAUUCUGUAGGGGGGUGUUCUAGAAAGUUCAGUGGCAGGGUGAAGGUAGUUGGCACUUUGUAGGGUUGGUAGGUGGUAGAAGGGAGAGUAAAAGAAAAAAAAAAAAGAGAAUACCAAAUAGGAAUGCAAGAAUCAUCCAAAAUUUAUUUGUUGAAUAGGCUUGUAUGCACUCAGGGGCUAUUAAGCUCAUAUUCUCCUGUAAGUGGCACAUGUCAGUGACCAUUUACUCCCAUGGCUCCUUGCUGCUGGCUCUUUCAUUGAGAUAGACAUCACAGUCCUUUGUAGAAUCUACAAUUCUUUAUCUAAGCAAAAUAUGUUUAUUAUUUUGCCCUUUGCACCUUCAAACUCCAAAUUGGAGUUGCCUCAGUAGUUGAAGAAAUUAAUAUCCAAUAAAGGGACACAGCGAGUGAACCAUACUCAGGGAAAAUAUAUAUACUAGUUAGGGCCUUCCAGAGAUUGUACCUCUUAUUGCUUUGCUGUCACACAUUUUGACAACUCUUUAAGAUGAAAUUUAAAACUAGAUGAAAGAGAAGACAGAGCUCUGCAGAUGCUUUUGCUAAAUGGAUCUUUCAGAAGCUUAUAAGGCAAGUUGCAUUGGCAGCUGAUGUUCAGUCUUCUUAUAGGACCAGUUCAAAGAAAGGAAUUCUUAAAUAUGCAUAACACACAAAGUCAGAGAUUCAGGAUAUGUAGAGAUGUAAUAAAUUGAAAUCUAACCUCUUCAUUGUACAGAUGAAAAAAAAUCAAGUCUUGACAUUGGAUGGACAUAACCGAGAUUAUAAGUAGUUACUAGCAGAGUCAGGAUUAGAACUCAGGUCUUUUAGCUGCUAAUGUAAUGGCUUUCCCCAAUAUCAUGUUGCCCCAAGUCCUGGUAGUAGAUCCACACCUUCAAAGCCCAUAAAAACACCAAGCAAAGCAAGGCAGAAAGCCAAAAGCACAAUCCUACAGGUCAGACAUCAAACACUGGGAGAAAGUGUGUAAACAAUAAGUGAAUUAGAAUCUUAAGCCACGUUUCCUUUUCUAAAAAAUGGAUUAUGUCAACUGUACUAAAUAAUUUUUUUCCUCCUAAAUCACUAAACAAAAAAAAGGGAAUAUAGGUUGCUAUUUAGUUGGGCCCUGAGACAUUUUUUAAUAUCAAAUAUCAUUUGAAAUCUUGCUUCACCUGAUUUGGGCAAUACUUUUUUAGCCAUGGACAGAGUAAUAAUGAGUCUGUUUUGUCAAAAUGUCUGGCUGAGUGCCACAGGAGUUAGAAUAAGGUCAUGUUUAUUCCACUGGACAUUUUAUUCUUUAUCUAGACUCUAAGAAGGCAAAGAACAUGAUAAUGAAGUCCAUUGGUGGCCUAAAUUGGAAGGCACUGUCAAUGUGAAUGAGGACUGAGAAAUAAAAUACAGGAAAUACAAGUUUAGACAUAUGUGCCAGGGAAGAUACAGCAAGACUUCACUUCAGAAGAAAUCUAACAGUUUGGAACAGAAAUGGGUUGCAGAAAUUCUAAGGAUAUGAAAGUCAGUGAAAAUGAUAAUGACUAAAAAAGAAAGGGGAAUUAUACCAGUUUACAAAAUGAUGUAAGAAUACAAUAUGAUGUACAGAAGAAAAAUACCCCAAACAAAAAGGUGCAGCUAUGCACUAAUAUACAUUUUACAUUAUAUUACAUAUAUCUUCCAUCUUGAGACCUAUAAAUAAAAAGAUUUCUGUUAUUGUAUUGUAAAUAUAAAUAUUUUUGGUGUAGAAUUGGAGAUGGUACCAGAAUAACCAACUAAAGGGAUAAUUUGCAUAUAAAAGGGACUGUGGGUACAAUGUGAAGGUGUUGGGAGUAUCCUCAGAAUUCCAUUUAAAGACAAAAGAGGAAGAGUUGAAAAAGAGAGAAGGAAAUUGCCAUUUCUGCCUUCUGUUGUCUACUAUGCUUUUCUCUCUGCUGCUUCAUCUAGAAAAAACAAACAGAUUUUUUUUUUUCUAAAUAAAUCCUUGCUAAUUUCUAAGCCUAGAAAAGAGCAGCCAGGCCACAGCUACAACCCAUGGCCACGUCAUCAAGGUGAGGCUCCCUUCGUAAACCUAUGAGCAUUCUUAUGUCUAAGGGACCAGAGCCAAUGCUGGUCAAUUUUUAUCAUCUUCCCAUAUUUUUGAAAUUUGUAGGGUUAGAAUUCUCUCUAAGUAUCUUAAUCAGAGCAUAUAGCAUUCUGUUCCAUACUAUAUAAGUAAUGACAUGAUGAAAUUCAGCACAUGCGAUUGCUAUGUAGUAAGAUUCUUCCAGAAAUCAUAUGCCAUUGGACCAGAGAUGGACUCUCCCUGUAUAAUUGGAUAGAAUAACUGAGGUCCCCUUUUCAGCAGAUACUUUGACAGUGGUUCCCCCUUAUGCACAGGAAAUGUGUUCUGGGACCCCCAGUGGAUGCCAGAAGCUGCAGAUAGUACCAAACUCUAUAUAUACUAUGAUUUUCCUAUACAUACAUACCUAUAAUGAUUUAAUUUAUAAAUUAGGCACAGUAAGAUAUGAACAACAAUGACUAAUAAUAAAAUAGAACGGUUACAAAAAUAUACUAUAAUAAAUGUUAUGUGAAUAUGGCCUGUAAUUAAAAUAUCUUAUGAUGUACUUACUCUUCUUCUGGUGAUGAUAUGAGAUGAUAAAAUGUCUAUGUGAUGAGAUGAAGACAGGUGAAUGACAUAGCCAUUGUGAUAUAACAUUAGACUACUAUUGACCUUCUGACAUAUCGAUGAGGAGAUGUUCAGAUAUGUGAGGUUCAUCUGCUUUUGGACUGUGGUUAACCGCAGGUAACUGAAACCUUGGAAAGCAAAACGGCAGAUAAGGGGGGAACUAUCUUAUCUCAUGGUAGUAGGAAUCCAUUAAAGAUUGCAAGAGUUAUUUAAAUUAAAGGCUGACUUACCCAGAAAUGUUAAAGGACCUCAAAACACAAAUUCUCUCUGAGCCAUAGGUAAGUAGCAUUUUAAUUAUUCUGCAGAAGUAUAAUAGAAAUGAUAAGCAAUGUAUGAUAAGGGAACAGAAUUAUAAGGGAAAAAAGCAUGGUUUUUAGCAAACAUCCAUCUAGCUUCCAGUUUUAAGAGGAUGAUACACCUUAUAAUGAAGUAGUAGUCAUUAUUAACCAGCCAGGACUCCUGGGAGCUUAAAAGCAACAACUUUAGGGGCACCUGGGUGGCUCAGGUGGUUAAAUGUCCGACUUUGGCUCAGGUCAUGAUCUUGCGGUUGGUGGGUUUGAGCCCCACAUCAGGCUCUGUGCUGACAGCCUGGAGCCUGUUUCGGAUUUUGUGUCUCCCUCUCUCUCUGCCCCUCCCCUGCUUGUGUGCAUUCUCUCUCUCUCUCUCUCUCUCUCUCUCUCUCUCUUUUUCUCUCUCAAAAAUAAACCUUAAAAAAAAUUUUUUUUAAAGCAAUGACUUUAGAUUAUCUUCCAAGGGAUGAUUUUCCCUUUCUGUAUUGUGAAACUCUGGCUGUUUAAAAAUUUCAGAUGUAACAUAGCCAUCGAGAGUACUUUGCUCUUCUUCAACUGGCACAUACGCUGUUUGUGAUCAUUUUCUUAGACUAGCACACUAUUUUGAUAGAGGGCACUGUAUCAGCAUUAAGUUACCUCAUUAUAUCCUGUCAUGAACAAAUCCAGGGAAUCCUAAACCUCAUCUUCUUUCCUUUGCCUACUCAGUUCUGUGUAAGAGAGACUUAACUUAUAAAGAAACUCAAUGAAAGGCCAUAACUCUUCAGAUUUAUAAACAACAAUAUUAUAUGUGCUGUAAGAGCAGUAAAAGGGGCAUCAAUGUCUGUAAAGGUAUAGUGGUGAUUAUAAGGAAUUUAUUAGAUGCAUCAGAUAAAAGCCAUUAUUGAAAGAAUUGUUUUUAUGUUCAAGGACCUUCAAAUAAGUGCUUUAUGGUUGAGGGAAACCUGUUUCUGAUUCAACUAAUAUUCAUGGGAUUUAUUAAUGGGUACCUGCUACAUGGGCCAGGCAUUAUUUAUUUCAUUUCAGUCUUACUAAAUGCUAAGAAUUGUGCUUAUGCCAGGGAUACAAAGACAAAUGAAACAUAAUCACCACAUUCAAGAGGCUCGCAGUCUAAUAGGGGAGAUUCAUAAGUAGAUAGUUAAAUUCGGUGUAACAAUGUGGUAAGUGUAAUCAAAGAGGGAAGCAUGGAGGACUAUGGAAGCACACAGGAAGGGUUAGACAAGGUUUUCUGCAGGCAGUGACUUUUGAAACAAGUCUUAAAGAAGGGUGAAAGGAAGAAGAAACAGCUUGAGCUAGGUCCAAGGGCUUAGAAACAAUGCUUCAGUAGUACCAGAGAACAGAGUAGGAUGUGGGAGGUUGGGGAAAAUGAUGGCUGAAGAGUCAAGCAGACUCCAGAUCAUGCAAGGCCGUGUUAAGGAGUUUUCCUAGAAGAUAGUCGAUGGGAUAUUUUGUUCCUAGUAGGAGAAUUUUGUGGGGAAAAAAGUUUGGAAAACAUUGGAUCAAAAGGCUUCUUUAACAUAGAGUCUGUGGGAAACUUAAGUGUACUAAUAUGCGUUGUGACUCUCCAGGGACAUACUAUACAGUUUUCUGACUAUGAAAUACUUAUGAAAGAUCAUCUUUUGGGACUAGAGUUCUGAGAAGCACACUUGGAAAGUAAUGCAUAAAUCUUUGCAUUACUAAGGUAUUUAAUAAAACCACUAAGGUAUUUAAAUAAAUCAGUGCUAUGGACAGGUUUGCAUUUUAGAACACACCAGUAGCAUUUCAGAACUCUCCAGCAGGCGUGUAGGAGAUAGUUGUGGAGGGGCAAAAUUCAUGGCAGAGAGGCCCGUUAGGAGACCACUUUUGCACAGAGCAAAAAUGAGGACCUGCACUUAGGAGUAGAAGGAAGAAAAGAAUUUUAAAAAAUGUUUAAGAGAUUGACACAGUUUAAUCAUUGAUUGAAUGCAGGGAGAGUGAGGGAUAGGAAAUUCAAAGUUUCUAACACGGGUGGUCAGGUGGAUUGGGUACCAACAAUUGAGUAAGAGGAGGCAUAAGUUCAGGAAAGAGACAAUGAGUUUAGUUUAGGAAAUCUAUGUCACAUGUAGGGGGACAUUUUAUGAGAUAGUUGGAUGCGAGUAUGUGAUAAUUAGAUAUUUCUGUUAAGUACUCAGAUUUGGUAGUUCACAGAAUAUAGAUGUAGUUAAAAUGAUGACAAUAUUAAAUAUCACUCAGAAAGAGCAUGUUGAAUUAGAAGAAAUGUGGACCAAGUACAGAAACCAGGGAAAUUGCAAGAAAAGUGUCUACACACAUAACAAUUUCAAAACCUGAGACAGCUCAAACCGUAGACACAGGCUGCUAUUUAAAAACACCAACAACACAGUAUUAGAUCUAUUUUAGUGAUCAUUUUGGAUCUAUAUUAAGUUCAUGUCUUUCUUUACUCAGACUUUAUAUUUGUCUAUGUCAAGUAUUUUAAUAAGCAUUCUCCACUCCCAAUUAAAUUACCAGAAUUUUUUUUUUUUUUUAACUUUGAAGUGCUUUAAACAGAUUUGGCAGCAAAUAGAGAUGUGAACUGAGGCCAUCGUAUUUAAACCUGUGGUUUUGCAGAUUGCUAGUGGUGGCUCCAAAAUUUCUACAUAGGAAGGGCUUGGGCUGAUUGAAAGAAGGCACUAACGUUUAUAUAAGAAAUGUUUUUACUAAAAUUGAAUGUUUCGGGGCGCCUGGGUGGCGCAGUCGGUUAAGCGUCCGACUUCAGCCAGGUCACGAUCUCGCGGUCCGUGAGUUCGAGCCCCGCGUCGGGCUCUGGGCUGAUGGCUCGGAGCCUGGAGCCUGUUUCCGAUUCUGUGUCUCCCUCUCUCUCUGCCCCUCCCCCGUUCAUGCUCUGUCUCUCUCUGUCCCAAAAAUAAAUAAAACAUUGAAAAAAAAAUUAAAAAAAAAAAUAAAAUUGAAUGUUUCUUUGCAGAGAAUGGGGCUGAUGAAAAUUAUGCAUGGGGUGGAGGGAGCUAAAUUUUCUGUAGAGUCUCCACUUGGUUCCAUGAUGCUGUUUCACAUAAUUAAAUAUGUAGUAAUUAAUAUUUCCAGCUGAUAUCGAAACUAACACUUUAAGUCGCUAAUAAUAUUUGUCAUUCCAGCUGAUAGUGAAACUAGCCCUCUAAGUAGUUAAUAAUAUGUCAAUCUGAAAAACAUCUCCUGCAACUAAAUUGUGCUAAGUCACAUUUUCAUCAGAUACCCUAAUAUAUAUUGUUUACCUAACAUAUUACCUAAUAUAGAUUGUUGAUUAAAUUACCUAUUAACAGUCUAUUCUUCAGUACACUGAGGUUGUUUGUUUGUUUGUUUUAAGCAAUGUGGUAGAACUUCAAAAUACAAUCACCCAUGACAAAACACAGCUUUUUUUUUUCCUUAAGUUAAUUUAUUUAUUUUGAGAAAGAGAACGCGAGGCAGCGGCAGAGAGAGAGGGAGAGAGAGAAUCCCAAGCAGACAGUGCAGAGCCUGAUGCAGGGUCAAACUCACCAACCCAUGAGGUCAUGACCUGAGCUGAAACCAAAAGUCAAAUACUUAACCAACUGAACCACCCAGGUGCCCCAAAACACAACUUUUCUUAGUAUCUACCACUGUUAGCUCUCAGUCUUUAUCUUGUACAUACUAAAAUUUUUACAUAAUCAUCUAUAAUCCUUUGCAGAAAUAGAAUAUAAAUAAAAAUGAGUAAAUAAGUAUAUGCAGGGGCGCCUGGGUGGCGCAGUCGGUUAAGCAUCGGACUUCAGCCAGGUCACGAUCUCGCGGUCCGUGAGUUCGAGCCCCGCGUCGGGCUCUGGGCUGAUGGCUCGGAGCCUGGAGCCUGUUUCCGAUUCUGUGUCUCCCUCUCUCUCUGCCCCUCCCCCGUUCAUGCUCUGUCUCUCUCUGUCCCAAAAAUAAAUAAACGUUGAAAAAAAAAAAUAAGUAUAUGCAGCAUUAUACCUAUUGUGAUAAAUUAUAUAUAAGAUAAAUUAUAUAUCCCAUUCACUCUUAUGUUGUAAAUGACAUACUUUGGUGUUUGUGUUGCAAAUUUAAUGUUAUAUGAAUGUGAAGGAGUAUUAAGGAACAGAAAACAAACUUUAAAAAAAAUUGUGAAAUAUUCUGUGUGUAUAUUAAUUAACAGUAAUUUCAUGGAUUGUACUUCGUUGAUUUGAAGAAUUACAGCAGUUAGCUUCCCUGGCACAGAGUUUUCUUCCCAGGAGUCAUUUAAGCAUUACAAAAUCUGUCAUGUAGUUAUAACAUUGGAAAAAGCAUAGACAAUAUCGCUCUUAUACAUGCCUGGUCCAAAUAUAGCUUUGCAGUACGCAGUUUUGCCUGGAAUCCUUGCAAUGGGUUCUAUUAAGUUGAAGCUUAAUAAAAUCAAGGUGGUUUUCAGUGCCCAUUUUCAUGAUCAAAACAAUGUUUAUUGUGAUGUUCUGAAAAUGGUCAAUGCAUGGCUGCUUUUUCAGCACAAGAGAUAAUGUUCGGUUAAAGAAUAAAACUAUGGCAAUGAUUACUUUUUCCAAAGGCUAGUUUCAUUCAAAGAAUGCCAAAGAAAGGGCAUUGUAUAGCAAUAGAGUCUCCAAAUUUAGAGCAGAAAUAGUAAAUUUCAUCUCGUGGGACCUCAAAGCUGGUGCUUAAGUUUUGUUUUAUUUAUGAAGAAGAAAGCAUAUAAUAAAAACAGGAAAUAUCAGAUUGUAAGAAAAGAUAUUCCUUAGCUUAUUCUUUGUUGUAAGAAAUUGGAAGUUAGGCAGUGAAGGUGAGAUUUUAAUCUGGGGAAGGACACAGACAUCAAAAUCCAAGAAGCACAAAGAAUUCCCAUUAGAUUCAACAAAAACCAACCAUCAACAAGCCAUAUCAUAGUCAAAUUCACCAAAUACACAGACAAGAAUUAUGAAAGCAGCAAGGGGGGGCGGGGUGGGGAAAGUCCUUAACUUAUAAGGGAAGACAGAUCAGGUUCUCAGCAGACCUAUCCACAGAAUCUUGGCAGGACAGAAAGGAGUGACAGGAUAUAUUCAACCUGCUAAAUCAGAAAAAUACGCAGCCGAGAAUUCUUUAUCCAGCAAGUCUGUCAUUCAAAAUAGGAGAGAUAGGGUCGCCUGGGUGGCUCAGUCGGUUGGGCGUCCGACUUCGGCUCAGGUCAUGAUCUCACAGUCCGUGAGUUCGAGCCCCACAUCGGUCUCUGUGCUGACAGCUCAGAGCCUGAAGCCUGCUUCACAUUCUGUGUCUCCCUCUCUCUCUGUCCCUUCCCUACUCAUGCUCUGUCUCUGUCUCAAAAAUAAAUAAACAUUAAAAAAAUUUUUUUUUUUAAAAAAAGGAGAGAUAAAGAGUUUCCCAGACAAACAAAAACUAAAGGCGUUCAUCACCACUAAACUAGUCCUGCAAGAAGAAUUUUAAGGCAGACCUUUUAAGUGGAGAAAAGACAAAACAAAAAAGACCAAAAGCAACAAAGACUAGAAAGGACCAGAGAACAUCACCAGAAACACCAACUCAACAGGCAACACAAUGGCACUAAAUUCAUAUCUUUCAGUACUCACUCUAAAUGUCAAUGGACUAAACGGUCCAAUCAAAAGACAUAGGGUAUCAGAAUGGAUAAGGAAACAAAACCUAUCUAUAUGCUACUUACAAGAGACUCAUUUUAGACCUAAAGACACCUGCAGACUGAAAGUAAGGGGAUGGAGAACCAUCUAUCAUGCUGAUGGUUGUCAAAAGAAAGCUGGAGUAGCCAUACUUAUAACAGACAAACUAGAUUUUAAAAUAAAGACUGUAACAAGAGAUGAAGAAGGGCAUUAUAUCGUAAUUAAGGGGUCUAUCCACCAAAAAGAUAUAACAAUUGUAAAUAUUUAUGCCCCCAACAUGACAGGACCCAAAUAUAUAAGUCAAUUAAUCACAAACAUAAAGAAACUCAUUCAUAUUAAUAACAUAAUAGUAGGGGAUUUCAACAAGGAAACAAUGGCUUUGAAUAACACACUGGACCAUAUGGACUUAACAAAUAUAUUCAGAACAUUUCAUCCUAACACAGCAGAACACACAUUCUUCUCGAGUGCACAUGCAGCAUUCUCUAGACUAGAUCACAUACUGGGUCACAAAUCAGCCUUCAACAAGUACAAAAAGAUUGAGAUCAUACCUUACAUAUUUUCAGAUCGCAACACUAUGAAACUCAAAAUCAACCACAAGAAAAAAAUGUGGAAAGACCAUGAAUACUUGGAGAUUAAAGAAAGUCCUACUAAAGAAUAAAUGGGUUAACCAAGAAAUUAAAGAGGAAAUUAAAAAGUACACAGAAGCCAAUGAAAAUGAAAACACAACAGCCCAAAACCUCUGAGAUGUAGCAAAGGCAGUCAUAACGGGGAACCUAACCUCAUCUCAAAGAUCUGGAAAAAGAACAGUAAAUAAAACCCACAAACAGCAGAAAUGGGAAAUAAUAAAGAUUAGAGCAGAAAUCAAUGAUAUUAAAAUAAAAAAUAACAGUGGAACAGGUCAAUGAAACCAGGAGCUGGUUCUUUGAAAGAGUUAACAGAAUUGAUAAAGCCCUAGCCAGACUGAUCAAAAAGAAAAAGGAAAGGACCCAAAUAAAAUCGUGAGUGAAAGAGGAGAGAUCACAACCACCAUUGCAGAAAUACAGGGGCACCUGGGUGGCUUAGUCAGUUAAGUGUCCAACUUCAGCUCAGAUCAUGAUUUCACAGUUUGUGAGUUUGAGCCCUGCAUCAGGCUCUGUGCUGACAGCUUGGAACCUGAAGCCUGCUUCAGAUUCUGAGUUUCCCUCUCUCUGUCUGCUUGUCCCCUGCUCAUGCCCUGUCUCUCUCUGUCUCUCAAAGAUAAAUAAACGUUAAAAAAUUUUUUUAAAAAAGAAAUACAAACAAUAAUAAGAGAAUAUUAUGAGCAAUGAUAUGCCAACAAAUUGGGCAAUCUGGAAGGAAUGGACAAAUUCCCAGAAACAUAUAAACUACCGAAACUGAAACAGGAAGAAAUAGAAAAAUUGAACAGACCCAUUACCAGUAAAGAAAUUGAAUUAGUAAUCAAAAAUCUCCCAACAAGCAAAAGUCCAGGGCCAGAUGGCUUUCCAGGGGAAUUCUACCAAACAUUUAAAGAACAGUUAACACCUAGUCUUUUGAAGCUGUUCCAAAAAAUAGAAAUGGAAGGAAAACUUCCAAAUUCACUCUACGAGUCCAGCAUUACCUUGAUUCCAAAACCAAAGACCCCACUAAAAAGGAGAACUAUAGACCAAUUUCCCUGAUGAACAUGGAUGCGAAAAUGUUCAACAAAAUACUAGCAAACCAGAUCCAACAAUACAUUGAAAGAAUUAUUCACCAUGAUCAAGUGGGAUUUAUUCCUGGGCUGCAGGGCUAGUUCAAUAUCUGCAAAUCAAUCAAUGUGAUGCAUCACAUUAAUAAAAGAAAGGAUAAGAACCACAUUAUCCUUUCAAAUGUGAAAAAGCAUUUGACAAAAUACAACAUCCUUUCUUGAUAAAAACCCUCAAGAAGGUAGAGACAGACGGACCAUACCUCAAAAUCAUAAAGGCCAAAUAUGAAAGACCUACCACUAAUAUCUUCCUCAAUAGGGAAAAACUGAGAGAUAAGGUCAGGAACACGACAAGGAUGUGCACUCUCACUACUGUUAUUCAACAUAGUGUUGGAGGUCCUAGCCUCAGCAAUCAGACAACACAAAGAAAUAAAAUGCAUACAAAUCAGCAGAAGGAAAGUUAAACUUUCAGAUGACAUGAUACUCUAUGUGGAAAACAUUAAAGACUCCACUAAAAAACUGCCAGAACUGAUACACAAAUUCAGCAAAGUUGCAGUUGCAAUGUACAGAAAUCAGUUGCAUUUAUAUAUACCAAUAAUGAAACAUCAGAAAGAUAAAUCAAGGAAUUGAUCCCAUUUACAAUUGCAUCAAAAACCAUAAAAUACUUAGGAAUAAACCUAACCAAAAGGUGAAAAAUCUAUACAGUGAAAAUCAUAGAAAGCUUAUGAAAGAAAUUGAAGAAGACACCAAAAAAUGGAAAAACAUUCCAUGAUUAUGGAUUGGAAGAACAAAUACUGUUAAAAUGUCGAUACUACCCAAGGCGAUCUACGUAUUCAAUGCAGUCUGUAUCAAAAUGACACCAGCAUUCUUUACAGAGCUAGAACAAACAAUCCUAAAAUUUUUAUGGAACCAGAAAAGACCCCAAAUAGCCAAAGCAAUCAUGAAAGAGAAAACCAAAGCUGGAGGCCUCACAAUUCCAGACUUCAAACUGUAUUACAAAGCUGUAAUCAUCAAGACAGUGUGGUAUUGGCACAAGAACAGACACUUGAUCAAUGGAACAGAAUAGAGAACCCAGAAAUGGACCCACAAACAUAUGUCCAACUAAUCUUUGACAAAGCAAGAAAGAAUAUCCAAUGGAUUAAAGACAGUCUCUUCAGCAAGUGGUGCUGGGAAAACUGGACAGUGAAAUGCAGAAGAAUGAACCUGGACCACUUUCUUACACCAUACACAAAAAUAAACUCAAAACAGACGAAAGACCUAAACAUAAGACAGGAAGCCAUCAAAAUCCUAGAGGAGAAAACAGGCAAAAACCUCUUUGACCUCAGCUGCAGCAACUUCUUAUUUGACAUGUCUCCAGAGGCAAGGGAAACAAAAACAAAAAUGAACUAUUGGGACCUCGUCAAGUAAAAAGCUUCUGCACAGCUAAGGAAACAAUCAGCAAAACUAAAAGCCAACUGACAGAAUGGGAGAAGACAUUUGCAAAUGACAUAUCAGAUAAAGGGUUAGUUUCCAAAAUCUAUGAAGAACUUCCCAAACACAACACCAAAAACAAAUAAUCCAGUGAAGAAAUGGGCAGAAGACAUGAAUAGACACUUUUUCAAAGAAGACAUCCAGAUGGCCAACAGACAUGAAAAGGUGCUCAAUAUCGUUCAACAUCAGGGAAAUACAAAUCAAAACCACAAUGAGAUAUCACCUCGCACCUGCCAGAAUGGCUAAAAUUAACAUUCACUCAGGCAACAACAAAUAUUCAUGAGGAUGUGGAGAAAGAGGAACUCUUUUACACUGCUGGUGGGAAUGCAAACUGGUGCAGCCACUCUGGAAAACAGUAUGGAGGUUCCUCAAAAAAUUAAAAAUAGAACCUACCCUACAACCCAGCAAUGACAUUACUAGGUAUUUAUCCAAAGGAUACAGGAGUGCUGAUUCAAAGGGGCACAUGCACCCCAAUGUUUAUAACAGCACUGUUGGCAAUAGCCUAAGUAUGGAAAGAGCCCAAAUAUUUAUUGACUGAUGAACGGAUAAAGAAGAAGUUGUAUAUUUAUAUAUACAAUGGAAUAUUACUCUGCAAUCGAAAAGAAUGAAAUCUUGCCAUUUGUAACAACGUGGAUGGAACUAGAGGAUAUUAUGCUAAGCGAAAUAAGUUAGAGAAAGACAAAUAUCAUAUGGUUUCACUCAUGUGUGGAAUUUAAGAUACAAAACAGAUGAACAUAAGGGAUGGGAGGUAAAAAUAAGAUAAAAACAGAGGGAGACAAACCACAACAGACACUUAAAUACAGAGAACAAACUGAGGUUGCUGGUGGGGUGUUGGGGGGGGGGGGGGAAGAACCAAAGGGGUGAGAGAAAAUAAGGAAGACACUUGUUGGGAUGAGCAUUGGGUGUUAUAUGUAAGUGAUGAAUCACUAAAUUCUAUUCCUGAAAUUAUUCUUACAGUGUAUGUUAACUAACUUGGAUUUAAAUUUAAAAAAAUAAAUUAAUUAAAAGACUAAGGAAACUAUACUUGAAAGUCAAAGAAUAGCAAAAUAAUGUUAAUAGGGAAAGGAAUUUAAAAAAUUCAUUCAGAUAUAUGUAAUAAUUUUCUUAUGGGUCCUCAUUCAUCACAGACAUAGGUUUUAUUUAUGUCAUCUUAUGAAAACCAGAUCACAUGAAUGACCAAGAAAUCCAGGCAGAUGUUUGUGAAACAAUUCUGUUAGAUUUUCUGUCUUUAAAUAUGUGCUUUUACUUAAUCCAUUCUCUGUAGUAUAUGGUUAAUCCACAGUAAAUUAUAGAUUCAAUGUUGGCUGGUUCAAUGUUAAGGGUAACAUUUAUAUACCUGUGUUAUUUCUAGUCAUAUUUUCAAUUUUAAGUAAUGGCUGUUUUGGUUAAUGUGGUUACAUUCCUAUUUUUAAAUAAUUAUAUGUACAUAUACAAUAUGUGUUAUUUAUAUUUUAUAUAAAUAAUGUUUAUAUUCAUAAUUAUUAUUUGCUCUUAUUAUAAAAGGGAUUAUAUACUGUUACCUUUCAAAUUGUUAGUUAGCCUGAUUUUACAUAUAAACACAGACUACUAUGUUACUAUCUGAAAGCCUAGGAAUGUUCUUCCAUCUCUUUUAUCUUCUCCUGUUCUCUCUGUAGCCAUCACUUCCAGCCACUAUUCUCAGUCCAUACUACGUCUCCCUGUUCCUGCUAAAUCAGGUUGAAAUGGCCUUGCCUAGGGAAUUGUGAAUUCAAACAUAGUAAAUCUCGAUUUGGCAACAGCUGUGAACAAUAUUUUCAUUAAAAAAACAAACAUUUUCUUAAGAAUCUAAUUUAGAACAACAGUCUUGAGAAUGAACAUUCAGCGCACAGGGCAUGUACAAGAUGAUCCAUGGGGUAUAUGAUAAACUACUGGUGCUUCUGUUUCUAUUUAUGUUUCCUUAUUCUCUUAAAAAUUUAACCUUUUCAUGCUUUACAAUGUAAACAAGGUUCAUAAUAUGUUAAUCUAGUAGAAUUGAAUGAAUAGAAUGAACCAGUGAUUUUUUUUUUUUUUUUAACUGCUGGGGUAUAAGAACAAAGAAAUUUAAAAAUCAGAAACAUAGGGGCACCUGGGUGGCUCAGUCGGUUAAGCGGCCGACUUGGGCUCGGGUCAUGAUCUCGCGGUCCGUGAGUUCGAGCCCCGCAUUGGGCUCUGUGCUGACAGCUCAGAGCCUGGAGCCUGCUUCAGAUUCUGUGUCUCAUUCUCUCUCUGCCCCUCCCCUGUAUGCGCGCGUGUGCUCUCUCUCUCUCUCAAAAAACAAAACAAAACAGGGGCGCCUGGGUGGCUUGGUCGGUUAAGCGGCCGACUUCGGCUCAGGUCAUGAUCUUGUGGUCCGUGAGUUCGAGCCCUGCUAGGGCUCUGUGCUGACAGCUCAGAGCCUGGAGCCUGUUUCAGAUUCUGUNGAAUGAACCAGUGAUUUUUUUUUUUUUUUUAACUGCUGGGGUAUAAGAACAAAGAAAUUUAAAAAUCAGAAACAUAGGGGCACCUGGGUGGCUCAGUCGGUUAAGCGGCCGACUUGGGCUCGGGUCAUGAUCUCGCGGUCCGUGAGUUCGAGCCCCGCAUUGGGCUCUGUGCUGACAGCUCAGAGCCUGGAGCCUGUUUCAGAUUCUGUUUCUCCCUCUCUCUGACCCUCCCCCGUUCAUGCUCUGUCUCUCUCUGUCUCAAAAAUAAAUAUAUGUUAAAUAAAUAAAUAAAUAUCAGAAAUGUAAAGAAUAAGAACAUUUGCAAAAAAAAAAAGAACAUUUGCUUAGUAGUCUGAUAGACUUAGAUUUGAUUGUUACCUCUUACAUUUACUAGCUAUUUGAUCUUACGCAGGUUACAAAAUCUCUCUAUGCCUCAGUGUCCUCAUCUAUGGAAUAGUAAUAAUCAUAUAAUACUUACCUUAUAAGGUCUCUUGAAGAGUAAAUUAAAUGAUGAAUGUAAAGCACUUAGUGCAUAGUAUAUAAGCAACAAUGUUAGAUGCUUGCAUGACUGGAAAAGGUCAUAGGGAAGGUCAUGUGGAAAGCUAUGGAAUAAUAGACCUAAACUCAAGGUUUUCUUUCACUGAGACAUGAAUUCGAAUUUUAUUAUGGUCUGAGAAGUUUCAAUUAUCACGCAUUAGCAUUCAGACAAAUCUGUUCAUAUUUUAUUUAAAAUCUUUAAGUUCAUUUAUUUAUUUUGAGAGAGAGAGCACAAGCAGGGAGUGGCAGAGAGGGAGAGAGAGAGAGAGAGAGAGAAAGAAUCCCAAGCAGGCUCUGCACCUCCACGCUGAGAUUGAUGCAGGGCUCAAUCUCAUGACCAUGAGUGAGAUCACAACCUGAACCAAAAUCAAGAGUCAGGUGCUUAACCAACCGAGCCACCCAGGUACCCUAAAUCUGUUCAUAUUUCAAAGAACAUAGACUACAAAAUCACUUUUCUGAAACAAGUGAACCAGCACAGGAUGACCUGAGUUAUACACAAUGUUAAUUUUAGUCCCAUCAAAAAUAUAUAUUUAUUCACACAAUACAGAUAGAAAUUGAAUGCCUAAAGUACAUAAGUCUUGGAUUCCUGAGGGCAACAGUGUUCUCUUCAUAUUUUUCACAUAUGAAGUUUGUUAAUUUUCAAUAUUAUUGCAAAACUCAUCCCAUUAAAGAGAAAUUUUUUAAAGUAAUCUCUAGGCUUGAUGUGGGGUUUGAACUCAAGACCCCAAGAUCAAGAGUCACAUGUUUUACUGACUGAGCCAGCCAGGCACCCUGAGAGAAUUUUUGUUGUUUGUAAAGAGGUAAAAUAGUGUAAGUGACAACCAUUACCCAUUCAAAAAUUAUUGUGCAUCAAAUUUGUGUGUGUGUGUGUGUGUGUGUGUGUGUGUGUGUAAAAUGAGCAAAAGCUCAUUAAUAGUAAAUAUUGGAAUUUUGCAAAACAUCCAAAAAAUCUGAUCUAUUGAUAACUUGCUCCAGAAUUAUAGAAUAAACAACGAGAAUUUAAAAAAUCAGUGAGAAAAUAAGUUUUUAUUCUCAGAAGUGUAGUAUUCUUACCUCAUUGAGAUUUGGAAGUUGUCUUCAGUCUUUUAAAUGUAAUUUUAAAAACAAUUUUUUUAAUGUUUAUUUGUUUUUGAGACAGAGGAAGACAGAGCAUGAGUGGGGGAGGGGAAGAGAGAGAGGGAGACACAGAAUCUGAAACAGGCUCCAGUCUGAGCUGUCAGCACAGAGCCCGAUGCAGGGCUCGAACCCACGAACCGUGAGAUCAUGACCUGAGCCAAAGUCGGACGCUCAACCAACUGAGCAACCCAGGAGCCCCUGUCUUCAGUCUUUUAUAAUAGUACAGAGUCAUUUCCCCCCAAAGCUUUGAUGAAUAUUAAAACACAUUUUAAAAGGUUUGUUUUGUUUUGUUUUUCAUUUUAGGUUGUGUUGACCCAAUCAGAGAAACCUUUGAUUCAGAGACACCUCAUGAACCUGAGUGGCAAGAUGCCUGGAUAGUAGUUUUGUUCUGUGCUCAUUAUGGAAUUCCAAGAGGAAAGGAUGAAAUGAAAAGGCAGAACACGGAGUCUGAAUACUUACAAUUGACCUGACAUAAGACUUUCAUCUAAGUCAAUAUGUGGCUUUAGCAGAAAUUUUUCUUAAAGAAAUAGAUAAUGAAGAAUCAGAUUCAACAAAAUAUUCAUAAAGGGCUCAACAUGGUCAACAAAAGUGUUUUAAGCACCUAUUAUGUACAAAACUUUGCAAAAUUCUGGGAGUGAGGUUGGGAGAGAUGAAAAAUAAUAAGGUAUGCAGAUGAGUAAGACAUUGUCUUUCACCCCAAGGAACUUCCACACUGGUGAAGGAGAUACACUUGUACAAGGUAGGCAUAGAAAAUAUUUUUAAAAACUGGGAUAGUAGAAAGAAGACUUCUGGGGUUGGAUCUUCGGCUUGGACUGAAAAUAAGUUUCUCUUAUUUACUGGUCUAGACUAAGUUGCCACAAGACAGAACACCACGUUACAUUUGAAUUUUAAGUAAACAAUGAAGUUUUUAAUUGUCAGUAUACUGUAUUACAUGGGACAUACACUAAAAAAUUACUUUGUAAAAAAAUCUGAAAUUCAAAUUGAAUAGGGUAUCCUGUAUUUUUAUUUGCUAUAUCUGGCAACCCAAUCUUAGGCAAUGUGCUCAUUAUUUAUAGUUUGCCAAAUCCAUCCAUCCUUUUCUGCUAUGUCCCUCCUGGAAGCUGACUCCUAUGAUCUCAAUUUCCUGUGCUCCCUUACCAGUUGGCUUCUUGUUGAAUUCAGUCAUUGGGAGGGACUGGAAGGAGAGGAGACAGUAAGAGGAGAGAGAUUAAGUUUUCUUCCUUGCCUCUUCCAUACCUUAGCAAAGCAUCGUUGGUGGUGGCAGUAGUCUUCUAUAACUACAAGUCAUGCCUGACAGUUCCUCCUCCAUGACGUCAGCUUUCCUGAGACUCUGGUCACAUUUUCCCCUCCCAUUGCUCCCUCAGUGUUAGGAAUAGCAAAAACUUCCCUUUGCUGCUAACCUCUGGGUGCUUCAGCAUCCCUUUUGGUUUUUCUAACUUUGCCCAUUUCUUUGUAGGUAGUCUAUUAUUUAAAACCACUGAAUUAAAUUCUGUUUCCUUCCUGGACCCUGGUUGAUAAAGCAAGUCUCUUUAGCUUCUUUGAGCUUUAUCUUUUUAGCUUGCAAAAUGAAGAAAAUAAUACCUCCCUCAAACAUUUUUUGUACAUUUUUGAUUAUAUAUAUGGAUAUCUUGGUGGGGGCUCUAAAAUUUGAGUUUAUAUUUAGCACACUAUAUUAAUAACUCUUUCCAGUUGUGGUAUGGCAGAGUAGUACCUAUUGAAUCAAAACUCUUGUGGAUAACAACUAUAAACUGAUCAAAUAUUAACAUCAGCUCUCUGAAGGAAUUGGGUAAUGACCCAAAGCAGGCAAGUACUGUUGCAGAGUUGAUAACUGAUUGAAGGGAACAACACUGGGUGAGUUUCUCAUUUUUCUAGCUUUUGGACUGAGGAUAUAAACCAGUGUGCACCAGACGGGAAGCUAAAAUUGCAAUAGUCUUACUGACUGAAGAACCAUAGGACAGAGUUUAGGACAACUGUAUAGCCUAAAUGAGGGGAGAAAUCCAAGAAAGGAGAGUUCUAGAAAGAAGGAGUUCCAAAUUAUAUUCAUUACAAAUUUCUGGCUUACCCUUGAAUCAUACCUAUGUUGGGCAGACUCACACAGACCAACUAAAACUAAAAGAACAGUACUGAGAUUUAAACUGCCACCUAUUUCAGGAAAGUUGGCAGCUUGAGUCCCACUAUUUUAAGUGUCUAUUAAAACAGUGAACACUUUUCAGAGAAAUAUAACAGAAUCUAAAGUCUACAACACAUCAUUCACAAUGUCUAAAAUAUAGCCCAUAAUUACUUGAUGAAGAAACAGAAAACAUGAACAAUUUUAAAGGGAAAAGACAAUUAUCAGAGCUUGACCUCUAAGAAAACACAGAUGUUAGAAGUAUCAGACACAGAUUUCAAAACCGCUAUUAUAACUAUGCUUAAGGAUAUAAAGAAAAUGUGCUCACAACAUAUGAAAAGAUAAGAAAUCUCAGCAAGAAAACAGAAACUAUAAAAAAUAAAAAUUCUAGAACUGAAAAACACAAUAUAUACUUAAAAAUAUCCACUGAAUGGGAUUAGAACAGGAUGAAUAUGAUGGAAGAAAGAAUUAAUGAACAAAUCAAUAGAAAUUAUAAAACUUAAAGAACAGAAAGAAAAGAUUGAAAAAAAGUUAACAGUUUCAAAGGGCCUGAGGAACAGUAUCAAAAGGUCUAAACGAACAUUGUGUAACUGGAAUUCCAGAAGAGAAGAGAUAAAAUGAAUAAAACAAGAUAUUUGAAAAAAUAAUGGCUGAAAUGUUCUUAAUUUGAUAUAAGAAAUUUAUAGCAUCAAAAAUCUCAGAAAGCCCCAAGCAAGAUAAGUCCACAGAAAAGUCACACCGAGUCAUAUCAUAGUGAAACCCAAGAUGAAUAGAAAAUUUUGAGAAAAAUGACACAUUGUGUACAGAGGAACAAUUCAAAUGUUCAAAUGAAUUCAAACAAUUUAAACCUCAUCAGUAAUAACAAAGUUAGAAAACAGAACAAUGUCUUCAAACUGCUAAAAGAAAAAACAAAAUCCAGAAUUCUAUACUCAGCAAAAUACAUCUUUCAAAAAUGAAGACAAAAUAAGCACAUUUUCGCAUAAGAGAAAACCGAAAAAAUUCAUUGCCAACAAACCUGAACUGCAAGAAGUGUAAAAGCAAGUUCUUCAGGUAGAUGGAAAAGGAUAACAGAUGGAAAUUUAGGUCUUUAGGAAAGAAUGACGAGCAUUUCAAGUGGUAAAUAUGUGGGUAAAUAAGUAUUUCCUAGCAAUUUCCUAGCAGUGACAUGAAAAUAAUUUUUUCUUGAUAUAGUGUCACUUUAUAAUAAUGUAUAUAAAUACACAUGAAAUAGUAAUAGAUCAGAAGUUUCAUUGGAGAUACCAAGACACAAUAGAGGCCACCUCCAAAGAGGUAUGGUAAUCCAGAUGCAGAUUUUUCAAAGGAAAUAGUCAAGAAUAUGUUAGAUGAUUCACCCAUGUUAAAAGUAUAAAAAGUUUGGAUUUUUGAAAGUUUGAAAAGUUUUUGAGGAUGAUUAACUGAGAGAUAGCUAUGUUGUGAUGUUAUUGUCAACUUUUACCAUCUAAAGGGGUUGGAGUAGGGGACCUGACACUUAAGUCUAAUGAAAGGGACCUCAAUGGUACCAACCAUUUGGUUAGCUUGAUAUGUCUACCCCAUGAUUGAAGGGCACAAGUACGUUUAUUUUAUUUAUUUUUUGUUUGCUAGUUCAGGUUUAUUGAGAUAUACAUAGAGUAAAAUGCACCUUUUUUAGGAAUACAGUCCUAUGAGCUCUGACAAAUGUAUACAGUCAUGUAAAUAACACCACAUCAUUAUCUCCAAAAGUUCUCUUUUGUAACCAAGUUCCUCAUACUCUCAAGCCACUAACAAACAUUGAUUUGAUUUUUGUCCCUUUAAUAUUGUCUUUUUGAGAGUGUCAUAUAAAUACAAUCAUAUAGUAUAUAGCUUUUUGUGUCUGCCUUCUUUCAAUUACUAUAUUGCUUUUGAGAUUCGUUUGUGUUGUUGCAAUUAUCAGUAGUUUUAUGGAUGAAUUUAUCCCAAUCACCAGUUGAUGAUUUGGGGGUGGUUCCCCAAUUUUUGGCAAUUAUAAAUAAAGCAGUUUUAAGAAUUUGCAUACAGG